rnacentral:lncRNA from 1 species
AACACAAAAUAUUUUGUUUGUGACUUCAACCUAGUCUUUAUUUUUUAAUUCAAAAAACUAGGAAACAUGGUGAAGAUUACAACUAAGAUAUCAUUUGUAAUGAUCCUUCUGGCUUUAGUAGCCACCAAUGGUAUUUUCUUUUCCAUUUUAUAUGUGUUUUUUUUUUCGAUAUAUAUCGAAAUAAUUAUAUUAUUAAAUACGUAUUAAUCUUGUUUAUACUUAAUUUGUGAUUCUGUCUCUUAAAAUAAUUAUGUUAAUUACUUUUCUUCAAUUUCAAAAUAGAGGCCAAGAAAAGAGCCUAGUGUGGAGAAAAAAAGACAAACGAAUUUUUGAUUUUUUAUCACAAAAAUAAAUAAAUUCUUUACCAAAUUAAAAUAUAAAUAAAUUUGUAACCUUGUAAAUAGAAGAUAUAUAAGUUUUUCUACUAAUGGACCUUGAAAAAGGAAACUAGUAGCUGAGUGCAUACCAUUAGAAAUAAUGUAGUUUACCUACAUUUUAAUAAUAAAAAUCUUGGAGUUUAAUAAUUUAUUAUUACUCAUGAGUGUAAAAUUUGUGUCGUCUUGUGUACUUGUAUAUUACGAUGGAAUUAUUAAAUAAAGAAAUAAAUUUACAAGGGGUAAUUUUAAUUUUUUUAUUUUUUGAUAAUAUCAACGCUAUAGUCAUUCGUAGAAAUAAAAAUAAAAUUGUCAGCAAAAUUGUUUUACCAACAGUUAAUGAGGUUGAUAUUAAUAAUGAUUAUUUCUGAAGCCACAGUAUUGAUAAAAUAGGUUAAAAAAUGAUCAAUAAUAAGAUAAUUAACGGAUAUUUCGCUGCCAGUAAUAUUAAAUUUUCUAAUAGUAAUAGAACAAGUUAAAUUUUAAAAUAAUAAUAAAACUAUUAUUAUUAUUAUUAUUAUUAUUUGAUUUAAUUAAUUUAUCAGUCAUGUAUUUUGAUAAAAGAAAAUUAUCUUAAUUUUAAUAUUUUUAACAUGAAAAUGACGUAAUUACAAAAUUUAAGAAUCCAGUAUUUAUUAAUCAACAUGUAAGUAUAUAUGCAACUAUUUCUGAAAUUCUUCAAAAUGUUAAGGAUGCAAGUAGCAUUAAGAACAAAAAACAUUUUUUAUCGUUUUCAGUUAAUUCAAUCUCAGCAAGAUAGUUUUGAUCGUUUUCAAUUAAUUCAAUCUCAACAAGUGGAACGUUCAAAUUGUAAACGUUUUGAAGAUAAGUUUGUCGAAACACUUGUGAAAAAUCGUAAUUUGAGAGCAAUAUUAUCAUUAAAAUUAAUGUAAUGUAAGGAAUAAAAAGUGGGCCAUAACUUAAUAAAAAUAAUUUUACUAAUAAUUGAUCUAAUAAAUAGAUAUAGUAAGAAUGUAAUGCUAAUAAUGAAAAAUUUUAGGGAUUGAUUUCUUUUCUCUUUGAUCUUAAUUGGGAUUCUCUCUACUCUCUCUUCUCUCUAUUGGUUCUUAAAUCUUUUUCCUUACACAACAUUAAAGUUAUAAAUUUAUUCCCUAUAUUUUUAGAAAAAAUAUAUUUAUUUAAAAAGAUAAUGUGUUUCUCUCUCAACAACUUAUCCCAGUUCCGACUUUACGAUUCUAACUCAAACAGGGAUAUUGUUCAUAUCUAUGCCCAAAUAUAUACUCCAAUCCCAGAAUAUACUUUGUAACAACUCUCUAAUUGAAUCAUUCUCUGCAAAUUCGGUCCAACUGUAAGAUCCAAAAUUUUUGAAAAGUCUUAUUAUGAGUCAAUUUCAAUUUAUUUUAUUAAAGUCAAUUAGAUCAAAUUAUUUUAUUAAAGUCAAUUAGAUCAAAUUUCGAUAAUUAAACUAGAAUUUUUUUAUUUAAUUUUAUAAUUAUUGAAGAGAGCCGAACAGAGAAGGACGGGAGAGGGAAGCCUUGUUUGCGCCGUCACCAUGCUGCUGCUGCUGCUGCUGUCUAACUGCGUCGCCACCGUCUUGUGGAGCUGCUGCCGAAUUGCUGAGCUUGAGGGGCCCGUGCCGUCGCCGCCAUUGCCGUCGCGGAGGAGGGAGCCUAGAGGAGAGAGAGAGAUCAUGCGACUCUGGGGAGGAGGACGCGGCCAGUGACGCGAGAAGCACGACCCGCUGCAUGAAGUUGAGCCGCCGUCGUUAACCAGCCCAGCUGCCUCGCCAUUGUCACCGCCGAGGGUUUGCCGCUGGUGAGGAGAAGGCGCCAUCGCUUCUCCCAAUCGUCCCUGCCGCUGCCGUGCCAUCAAGAAGGAGGCCGUCUGGUCACACAGAGUAAGAGAGAGAGAAAGCAGGGGAGCAGAGGAGAGAGAGGAGAGACCUGCGCCAGCCACCGCCACUUCUGCUGCCCGAAACCCCGUUGUCGUUGUCGGGAAACUUUACCGAUAAGGGUUUUUGAGUUUGAUUUUCAUUCAUUUAAGAUUCUGAAAACUUUAUCGUCUCUGCAUGUGGGUUUCAGUCACCAUCGCCGGAGUCCGGUCGCUGCUGCUGCUUAAGGUGGCUGCUGGGGCUGCUGCCAAACUGGUUCAGAGCCCGCCGCUACUUCGUUUUGUCAUUUCAGUAAGUAUUUAUGUUUAGAAAAUCCCUGCGUUAGUGUUUGGUUAUGUUUGGUUAAAGACUUUGAGGUUUGAGUUUUAAUGUUGCAUGUCGCGUAAGUGUUGUUGUGGCUGUUGCGCCGUUCCUUUUAUUCCAGUAAGUGUCUCUAUCUCAGAAUUCUCGCCAUUAGUUUUCCAUUAUGUGUUUUAAGAUUUUUCGCGAUAUUAAUGUUUUAGGAAUUAGAAACCGACUUUGCACGUCGUGUUUGAGGCUGUUUCUGGUUCUAAGAAAGCAAGUAGAGUUGAGGUUUUGGUUUCCGUCGAUUCGGGUCCAGACGAAAGGAUUUCUAUGAGGCACUUGGAUUAUGGUUUUGCUUAUCGAGGUAAGGGCCUUUUCAGAGAACUACACUUUAUAAAUUGGAAUUAUUAUAUAUGGAUAUUGAUGUGAGAAAAUAUAUCUUUGAGUGAUUGUAUAAGUCUUAUGUAUUGUUGGUUGUCUUGGGUGAAUAUGAAUCCUUUUUUGGCUGGAUUAUUGUUCAGUUUUGUGAAACAGAUUGUUCUUGAAAUGCUUCUUUAAAGUUAUUUUUGUAAAAGCUUUGAAAUCGAGUUUAACCUGUUGGAAAUUGAUUGGAGUUUGAAUUGGUUUCCUUGAAAUAUGAAAAUGGUAUGCACCUUUAGAUUAAGUUGGAUUUUGAGCUAAUUUGGUUUUGAACCCUUUGAAGAGGGUUGCGGAAUGGUUUAGUUGGGAUUCGGAGAGGGUGGCAAGGUCCAAGUUUUAGGGGAGGUGCUGCCGAAAUUCCUAUGGAAUCCGGACUCUAUUGAAAUGUUAUUUGAAAAAUUAUGAGUUAAAGGCUUUUACUAUUUUACUUGAAUUAUUUGAGAAAGUUAUGAAUUAUGUUUUGAAAUGACUCAUUGAAAAGAGAACUAUAAUUUAGUGUUACUUCAUAAGAAAGGUAUUAUAUUUUUUGGUGUAAGACAUUUAAAUGAAAGUUAUGUUUUAAGCCGUUUUGAAUGUGAAAAGGAUUUAUGUCUCUGAAUUUAACUUGUGGAUUUCAAUUUGGAAGAGACUUUGCUUUAAAGUUGUUUUAAAGGUGAAAAGGGUUUAUGUAAUUGAAUUUGAUUUAAGGAUUUUUACUUAGAGGAGUUUUAGUGACUUUGAAAGAACUUGGAUUUCGAUUGAUAAAUCUCAUUUUUCGACAUUUUAAGAAAGGUUAAAGUAUCCAUUAAAUUUUUGGUUUAGAAAAACUAAAAUGAUUUCAGAGCCGUUGGGAACGUUUCAGAUUUUUAAUAUGGGGUUGAGAAUGGUUUUUGGGUUUAGUAAAAGAAAUAGUUUUGCAAAUGUGUUCUGAGUACUUGUGUUCUGAGUAAAAGAACUUAGAUUCUAUUCUUAUUACUCACAUCAGGAAUCCAUGGUUUUAAGGACUUUGGACAAGUUUGAGAAAAUGAGUUAUGUUAUUCUCCCCUAAAAGACUUGAGACUCUGUUGAAGAACUUUUGUUACGAAAUCCUAUUUUAGAAUGAAUAAUUUUGAAUCUCUCGAAAAUGGAUUUUGAUUUGGUGUGGUUUCUGAAAUGUUUGAAAAGAUGUUGUGGAGAUUGACCUUAUUUUAAAAAGGAAAAUUUACAUUUGAGAAAAAGUGGAUUUUGAGCCUGAAAUUAUUUGAGGAAUGAGGAUUUUAAAGUCAAGACUGAAAAGAAUUGAUUUUUGAUUUCAAAGUAAAGUAAUUUGAGAAAAAUGAUUUAUGGCUUGAAUGAUGAUUUUUAUGAGUUUGAUGAUGUUGGAUGGUGGAAGUGCUAUUAUGUUAUGAGCCGGAUGGCUGUAUAUGAUAAUGAAUUAUGGCUGAUUGUGGAAUAUGUUAUGAGCCGGAUGGUUGAGUAUUGUAACACCCUAACUAUCAAAAGUCACGCUUCCAGCUAUGCCACUCUGAUAACUCGGAUAUUACGACAAAUCUUAUAUUAUUUAAUACUAAAAUAUGAGCCUGUUUAAAAACUUUAAACUGCAAUACCGCUCCAAAAUACUUUUGUUAGGUAACGUACAUCCAUACAUACCAUACAACUUACAAAACUCACAAAGAGUACAUACAUAUAUAUAUAUAUAUAUUAACUAAUUUUACAAGUAUUAACUAAUACAAUUCCUAUCCCUCUUAUAGAAUGUAUAAAGAUAAAGACGAAGGAAAAAUAAAUAAUAAUUAAAGCUGUAAGAACCACAGUUAAUCGAACCGGUUAAUUAAGUGGUUAUGUUGCCCAAAUUUGAUUCUGAAAAGCUAGAAUGAGAAUUUGAGGUUUUAAACAUCAUUUUAGGACUCAGUGGGACUUUCUGAGUCAGAAAAUGUAUUUUCUGCGAAAAAUCGUGAAAAACUGCAAACCGGCAGUUGAACCGAUUGAGCUGGUUCAAGUCUGCCCGGUACUGUGCAAGAAAAAGUAGAGACUGUCAAAAACCUUAGAAAAACAGUAGAAAUGGAAAACCGGGCAUUAAUUUUAAAGGUUUGGCCCGAAGUUAGGCCAAACGGGCUAAAAACGCUAACGAGUUGAACCGGGCCCAAGUUGGGCCCAAGUCCAACAUAUAUAAAGGUUCAUUUAAUGAACUCUAGCCUCAAACACACACACACUUCAAAAUUGAAAGAGGGAGAGGAGAAGAGGUUGAACCCUAAUCACCUCAAUCUUCUCAAGCUCAUAUCUUGAGUUCUAGAGCUCCGAUUUACGUGCCGUCAGCGGCUACGCGUUUCUUGUGAAGAGAUCUACAAAACCCAUCCAAGAAACUCUAUAGGUAAGCUCGAAAUUUUUCCAGUUCUUCUCUCCAAAAUUUCGGGUACCUAGGGUUUUUGAGUAAGUGAGUUUUUGUGAUUCUUGAUGUUUAGGUUCACUCUAAUCCUUGCUUGGCUUUGGGUUUUGCCAUCCAAAUCUGUUGGGAAAGGUAAGAGCCUUUGAUCUCUUGUGAACCUUUGAUUUAUGUUGAGCCCUAGGUUGAUUUUGUGGUGAUUUAUAUGUAUAUAGCUUGAUUAUUGUGAGUUUGGAGCUUGUUGGAGCUACUCUGGUGGUUGGAUUUUGGUUGAAAGCUCAUUUGGUUUAUAUUGAGAAUCGGCUAAGGUAUGGUUUCGGUUUCCUCUAUGUAGUAUAUAAUAUUCAUGGACACUUAGGCUAGUGACUCAUAAGAUAGGAUUAAAUUUGAAUAGUUGAUGAGUUGUUGGAUGUUAUUGCAUGAUGAUGUUUGAUGAAAUGAUGAAUUUUGAGUUGAUAAUGAUGAUUGAUAGUAAUAUGAUAAGGAUGAAUGAUUUAUGAAGUUGAGUAGUGGACUAUGUCGAUUAAUGUGAUUUUGGUGUUGAAUGAUCGGUAAUAUAGUUGGAAAAAUUGUUAAUGAAGUUUGACAUAUGGGAUAUCUUGAUAUGGAUGUUGUGGAUGAGGAAAAUUGGAGGAAAAAUGUGGUAAUUUUGGUGUGGUAUGACAUAGAGGAUUGAUUUUUGAUGAAAGGUGGGGUUUGAGAAUGGUUUGGUUUGGUGUUGGUUGUGUUUUGCAAAGCAAUUGUGAAAAUUGUGACUUUGGGUAAAAGAUGAAUUUCGGUGAACUUUGUGUGAUCAUAACUCUUGCCUCGAUUUUCAAAAUUGGUUAAAAUUUGUUUAGAAUUAAAGAUCUUUGAAAACCCUUCAAAUUGGUAUAAAGUUUAUAAAAUUUAAAAUUUUGUAGAGGAAGUUAUGAUCAUUCAACGUUAGUGUUGAAAAUCUGAAAAUUUUACAAAGUUACAGAAUUCUGAGUUUUCUUGUUUGUGCGCACGCACACUCUACAUAAAUGGUGACCUGUGCGCAUGCACAGACCUGUGCGUCCACACACGCAAAGGCAGGCAGUCUGCUUGCAGCGCUGGCAUAGCCUGUGCGCGCGCACACCCAUAGGAAAAUCGCUACCUGUGCGUACUGGUGCACGAAUUAUGAAUCACACUUUUCACAACUCGUACCACUGACCAGCAAGUGCACUGGGUCGUCCAAGUAAUACCUCACGUGAGUAAGGGUCGAAAGUGAUGAGUGUCAUAGAUCAUCACCUCCAUCACAGUUAAGCGUGAAUGAACAUCUUAGAUAGGAACAAGCGUGUUUGAAUGGAAAACAGAAAUACUUGAGACACAGCAGAGCUCCUCACCCCCAACAAUGGGGUUUAGAGACUCAUGCCGUCAGAGAAUACAAAGUUUAGAUCUAAAAUGUCAUGAGAUACAAAAUAAGUCUCUAAAAGUUGUUUAAAUACUAAACUAGUAGCCUAGGUUUACAAAAUAUGAGUAAACUAUGAUGGAUGAUGCAGAGAUCCACUUCUGGGGCCCACUUGGUGUGUGCUGGGGCUGAGAUUUGAGCAAUCCACGUGCAGAGGCCAUUUGUAGAGUUGAACGCCAGUUUUUGUGCCAGUUUGGGCGUUCAACUCCAGCUUUUGAUCCUUUUCUGGCGCUGGACGCCCAGAAUUGAGCAUUAAUGGAUAGGAGGGCCCAAAGGAAUAAAAUCCUGGCCUAAACGGCUAAAUCAAGCUGUCCCUAACUAUAUGCUUGUGGCGUGAAGGUGUCAAGUGAAAAGCUUGAGACUGAGCGGUUAAAGUCAUUGUCCAAAGCAAAAAGAGUGUGCUUAAGAGCUCUGGGCACCUCUAACUGGGGACUCUAGCAAAGCUGAGUCACAAUCUGAAAAGGUUCACCCAGUUAUGUGUCUGUGGCAUUUAUGUAUCCGGUGGUAAUACUGGAAAACAAAAUGCUUAGGGCCACGGCCAAGACUCAUAAAGUAGCUUUAUUCAAGAAUCAACAUACUGAAUUAGGAGAAUCAAUAACAGUAUCUGAAUUCUGAGUUCCUAUUGAUGCCAAUCAUUCUGAACUUCAAAGGAUAAAGUGAGAUGCCAAAACUGUUCAGAAGCAAAAAGCUACUAGUCCCGCUCAUCUAAUUGGAAUUGAGCUUCAUUGAUAUUUGAAAUUUAUUUUAUUUUCUCUUCUUUUUAUCCUAUUUUGAUUUUAGUUGUCCAGGGACAAGCAACAAUUUAAGUUUGGUGUUGUGAUGAGCAGAUAAUUUAUACCCUUUUUGGCAUUGUUUUUACAUAGUUUUUAGUAUGUUUUAGUUACUUUUUAUUAUAUUUUUAUUAGUUUUUAUUCAAAAAUUAUAUUUCUGGACUUUACUAUGAGUUUGUGUGUUUUUCUAUAAUUUCAGGUAUUUUCUGGCUGAAAUUGAGGGACCUAAGCAAAAAUCUGAUUCAGAGGCUGAAAAAGGACUGUAGAUGCUGUUGGAUUCUGACCCUCCUGCACUCGAAGUAGAUUUUCUGGAGCUACAAAACUCCAAUUGAUGAGUUCUCAAUUGCGUUGGAAAGUAGACAUCUUGGGCUUUCUAGAAAUGUAUAAUAGUUCAUACUUUGUCCGAGAUUUGAUGGCCCAAACUGGCGUUCAAACGCCCACCAAAGACCAUUUUCUGGAGUAAAACGCCAGAACUGGCACCACAACUGGAGUUAAAUGCCCAAACUGGCACCCAAGCUGGCGUUUAACUCCAAGAAUGGCCUAUGCACGUGAAAGCUUCAAUGCUCAGUGCAAGCACACACCAAGUAGGCCCCAGAAGUGGAUUUCUGCACUAUCUGCACUUAGUUACUCAUUUUUCUCUAAACGUAAGUUACUAGUUUAGUAUAAAUAGCACUUUUUACUAUUGUAUUUGGAUACUUUGGAGACCAUUGUUCACGUUUGGAGGCUGACCUCACAGCCAUGCCUAGACUAUUUUCACUUAUGUAUUUUCUACAGUGGAGUUUCUACACCUCAUAGAUUAAGGUGAGGAGCUCUGCUGUUCUUCAUGAAUUAAUGGAAGUACUAUUAUUUUUCUUUCAAUUCACGCCUACUUCUUCUCCAAGAUAUACUCUUGUACUUAAUUCAGUUAAGUCAGAAUGAAGGGGUGACUCGUGACAAUCACCCACUAUCUUCAUUACUCGCUUAGCCAAGAUCUGCGUGCCUGACAGCCACAAGCGGUCUACAUGAUGUUCAACGUAGUCAUUGGACGACAACCGGAGUAUAUUCUCUUGGGUCUCUAAUCCACGAACCGAGUCCGGGGGUUAGAACCUUCGUGGUAUAGGCUAGAACUAUUGGCAGCAUUCCUGAGAUCCGAAAAGUCUAAACCUUGUCUGUGGUAUUCCGAGUAGGAUCUGGGAAGGGAUGACUGUGAAGAGCUUUAAACUUACAAAUGUUGGGCACAAUGACAGUGUGCAAAAGGAUAGAGAGAUCCUAUUCCGAUGCUAGUGAGAGCGAACAAAUGAUUAGCCGUGCGGUAGCUGUACCCGGUAUUUUUCAUCCGAUACGAGAAAUCCGACAGUUGAUUAGCCGUGCAAGAUCGUACCUGGUAUUUUUCAUUCGAGAGGAUCAUACAGCUUGCCAUGGAAGGGAGCACGCAUGAUUGGAAGAAGACAAUAGGAAACCAGAGAUUCAGAAGUAACAAAGCAUCUCCAAACGCUUAUAUGAAAUUCCCACCAAUGAAUCACAUAAGUGACUUUAUUUGAUUUUAUGUUUAUUUAUCUUUUAAUUAUCAAAACCUCAUAACCAUUUGAAUCCUCCUGACUAAGAUUUACAAGGAUGACCAUAGCUUGCUUCAAGCCGACAAUCUCCGUGGGAUCGACCCUUACUCACGUAAGGUAUUACUUGGACGACCCAGUGCACUUGCUGGUUAGUUGUGCGGAGUUGUGAAAAGUGUGAAUCACAAUUUCCCACACCAUUAUGUCUCUGACUUUUGUAUAUUUAUUUGUCCUAGAAGCUUGUAUUGAGAGAACAAAACUUGUAUAAGCUAUUUUUACUGUCUGGUUUGAUACAUGGUCUGUAUAUGGCUAGCCGGCUUAAACUCCGCGAGUCGUGGCUAGUGUCUUAUCAUAUUAUACUAUUAUACUAUGAUGUUUUGUUACUCAAUACUUGUUUCUUGUGUUUUAAGUUAGAAUCUUCGCUAGUACGUUUUGCGCUUUUCAAAUCCGGUUUUUGAGCUAUAUUCUCCAUUGGGCUUCUAGAUAUUAUCAGCUCCUUCUAUAUAUAAUAUAUAAAUAAGCUCAGAACUGUCGUAACCUUUGAUUAACCUUUGUUUUACGACACGAGGUAAGGCUUAGGCUAGUUAGGGUGUUACAAAAGCAAUACAAAACAUCACGACAACAACUAGAUAAACUCUUCGUGACUUCUGCGUCCAUAUCCUGAAAAGGGAAAUUUGUAGGGGGGAUGAGAACAUCAUCCUCGAAAGGGUUCUCAGUAGAGGGUUUUUGAGAAUUACUAUAAUAGGAUACGUGAAGGUAAAACCGUUCCAGUGAUUAAUAACCGCCUUAUGCAUCUUUUCAAAAGCUAAGGUUUACUAUAAGAGAAAAAUCUGAAAUCUUUUCUGAAAGAGGAACUGUUCAUUUCUUAAAAAUUCAAAAGCCUUUCAAAAAGGUUUAUCUAUGCUGAACUAAAUUAGUUUUUCAUUAUUUUCCAAACCAGAAACAUCAACUAGACAUGGCCUUUGGCCCACCUCAUGAUCAACCACGGCUCUAGGCCCAAACAACCCAAACAACAACCAAUCACCACAGUCCAACAGAGUUUUAGUUGCAAACACAAAUAGGAAAGUUCAAGCACAAACAAACAGUUACUUCAAGUAGAACAAUUAGCAGUUAAUCACAAGUAAUCACAAAGGCAAACUAAGUACAAUAUGCACACCCAAACAAUGUCACAUAGAUGCAUAUGAUGAAUGCCUGUCCUAGUAGCUGGUGAUAUCAUCUGUCAUUUAUAAAGCCAACCCGACAAGUCCUGGUAGCUAACUAUUGGACUGUCCCUCUGUCGUGCAUACCCAACUCGAGUUUUUCACAAUCAUAAUCAUAAUUCACAUCCAACACCCUCAUUGGUGUAUAUUCACGGGGGCAAGCUCAUCCGAAACUUUCACAGUGUCCGGCCACACUUACGACAUAGGGUCAGCAGAGUAUCGAGUCUCAACCUGGAGCACGUGGUGGCUAGCCACUGCUUCUACCCAGGAAAACUCGUAUCUCAGAUAAUUGGAAGUGCAACAAUCACAAUAUCAAUAACUCAGCAUAUAUACAUUUAUUCUCAACCAUAAAUCAACAUUCUUCUCAUCCAUCCGGCUUAAAUUCAUGAUUCAUAGUCAGCCAUCCGGCUCAUAACAUAUUCCGCAAUCAUCCAUAAUUCAUUAUCAUACACAGCCAUUCCGACUCAUAACAAAAUAGCACUUCCACCAUCCAACAUCAUUGAAUUCAUAAAAUCAUCAUUCAAGCCAUAAAUCACUUUUUCUCAAUUCACUUCACUUUGAAAUCAAAAAUCAAUUCUUUUCAACCUUGGCUUUAAAGUUCCCAUUCCUCAAAUCAUCUCAAGCUCAUAAGCCACUUUUACUCAAAGUAGGUUCCCUUUUUAAAAACAAAGCCACCAUCGGCAUCCUCUUUCUAAAACUUCCAAAACCAUGGCAAAUUAAAGAUAUCUUUUGAAAUAUUCAAUAUCAUCCAUCCCACAAUGGGAUUUUAUAACAAAAGUUCCUCGACAGAGUCUCAAGUCUUUAGGGGAGAAUAACAUAAUUCAUUUCUUCAAAUUCGUUUAAAAUCUGUAAAACCUUAAUUCUUGAUUUGAGUAAUAAAAAUAGAAUCUAAGCCAAGCCGAGUCGUGUAAUCACUUACUCCAACCACAUUUUCAAAACCAUUUCGUUCACUUGAACCAAAACCAGUUUCAACCCUUUGAUAAAAAUCUGAAGCGUUUCCAACGGCUCGGAAAUCAUUUUUUUGUUUUGCUAAACUGGAAUUCAAAGGAUACUUUAAAACUUAUCUAAAACGUCAAAAAUGAGAUUUGUCAAUCCCAAAUUCUUUCGAAGUCACUAAAACUCCUCCAAGUGAAAAUCUUUAAGAUAAAUUCAAAAACAUAAACCCUUUUCACCUAUAAAACUGCCUUAAAGCAUAAAUCUCUUUCAAAUGACUUGCACCCAAAGACAUAAUAUUUUUCUUAGGAAUCAAGGGGAAGUCAUAAUUCUCUUUUCAAUAAAUCUUUUCAAAACAUGCUUCAUCGCUUUCAUAAUUGAUCCAAGUAAAGGUAAUAAAAGUCUUAAAUUCACAAUUCUCCAAGUAAAAUAAUAAAGGCCUUGAAUUCAUAAUCUUCUAAAUAACAUUUCAAAUAAAGACUCGAAUUUUAUAGGAAUUUUGGCAGUACCUCUCCUAAAACUUAGACUUUGCCACCCUUUUCGGGUCCCAACCAAACCUUUCUAAAACCUUUUCCUCGGGUCCAAAACCAAAAUCAGUUUUAAAGCAAGCUAAAUCCAACCAUUCAUAUCAUUUUUAUCUCUAUAGGAAAAUUGAUUCAAGAUCAAAUCAUUAUCAAUUAACCAAACCCAUUUUCAAAACUUUAAGGAAACAAUUCAGUAACAGUCCAUUUAUCGAAACCAAACAACCAUCCAAUCAAACAUAUAAUCAUAUUCAUCCAAAACAGUCAGACCAUACAUAAAACUUAUAAAAUCACUAAAAAGUAUAUAAUUCUCACAUAAGUAUCCAUUUAUAACAAUUCCAAAUAAAAAAUAGCUUUUCAGAAAAGUCCCUACCUCAAUUAGCUGUAAUUGAAGAAUUUAAAUGCGGCAAACCCAAUAUUACGAAUCUAUAGCAGCGGUGCUCCAUCAAAUCCCAGCACCUAUUCUUAGCUUCGGUGGUGACUUAGCGGCAAUCUCCAAAUAGAGCCGGAAGCUACCUCCAGUAACCGCGAUGGCAAGGUAAUUUACAAUAAUCACUUUAUCCAAUACAAACAGUUUCAGUGACAAGCUUCAAAUUAGAAAUAAAUUGGUAGAACAAGGAAUCAGAAACAAGGCAGAGCUUACCAAAUCAGUAGUGGUUCUAAUGGUGGUUUCCUGGGCAGCUUGAAUGUUGGCUCCCGGUGGCAGAGGGCUCUGGAAACUCGCAGAAAUCACUAAACAGAGCAGUCCUAUCAACGGCGGCUUGUACCGCAGCGACCCAGGCAGCGGCAUCAACUGAACAGUAGCUCUGAUGAUGUCAUUCCAGUGAGUACUCUUCCUUCGGCAGUAACACAGAAACUCAGAACCAGCAUAGCAGCAUCAAAAUCAUCAACGGUGGCUCUAACAAUGGGCAACUCCAGCGACGGCAGAGUAACUAACUCGCUGUGACAAGUGGGUAGUGGCUCCAGUAGCAACCACCAUGGCAUCUUGGCUUCAGUAGUGGUUUCCAAUGGCGACGGCGACGUGCUCAAAACAGAACCCAAAUAGAGCAACGGUAAGAACGACGGCCAUGGGUGACGGCGAUGCGAGCUUCAUCAAUGGUGGCUUGGACUACAGGAACCCAGGUAGCGGUGACGGCAACCACUGAAACAGAGUUUACAGCACGACAGUGGCGAAAAAGGUCCCCUCCCUCUCUUGUCACAUUCUGUCUCUUCUCUCUGUGUAAAACUCACACACCACGACGAUGACGGCGGUGCUCCUCGCGACUCCCUGGACAGCAAUGAGCUUGAACGGCUGCAUAGGCAGGAUACAAUGGUAGUGGCUCCCUUCCCCUGGCCCCUGGCUUGCUCAUGGUUCUCCUUCUCCGCCACAUGACGAUGACGGAACGGGCUCGACGUGCACGGCGCGACGUCGGCGACAGCAGGAUGCAGCGCGGUAGUGACGAGGCGUAGGUCGACGGCAGGGCACGAUUCCAUCUCUCUAUUUCGCGAGCUCUCUCUUCUCCCUUUCCACUUCUAUAUGUGUGUCAUGUGAUGAAGGUGACGGCAGGGGGGUUACAGCGCUGAGUUAGGGAUUGAGAGUGAGGGUUACGCUGAAGGGGAUGAAACAGGGGUGGAGGUGUGGCUGCGUGUUUUAGAGCUGGGUUAAGGGUUUCAGGGUUAGGGUUUUCCCAAUUCGGGAAUUAGGGUUUAGGUAAAAUUAGGUUUAAGGGUAGUUUUGUAAUUUCAAAAAAAAUAGAAAUAAUAUAGUAAUUAGAAAUAAGUUUUAAUCCAACAAUAAUAAUGUAAAAAAAUACUAUUUGUUCAUCAAUUUUACAAAUUAUUUUCAAUAAAAUGUUCAAAUCCAAAAAUUAGAAAUAAUAUAAUUAAUUUCUUCAUUUUCCAAAACAGCAGUAUUAAUAUUUUAAAAUAUUAAUUAUUUAGUCCAAAUCAUAUAAAAUUCUUAUUAUUUCAUAACUACCAAAUUUAUAAUUUAAAUAUAGAAAAUAAUCUAAUAAUUGUAAAAUUGGAUAAUAAUCUUAAUUUAUUUCAAAUCCAAUUAAUCAAAACUUGCUUUAAUUAUCUUUAAUAAAACAAUUUCUAAAAUUAAAAUUAUAAAUAACUAUAUGAUUUGAGACUUGAUCAUAAUAAGACUUUUCAAUAGUUAUGGGUCUUAUAAGUAUGAAUAUGGAUGAUUAUUGAGUUGAUAAGGUGAUUGUUGCACUUCCAAUUAUCUGAGAUACGAGUUUUUCCUGGGUGAAAGCAGUGGCUAUCCACCACGUGCUCCAGGUUGAGACUCGAUACUCUGCUGAUCCCAUGUCAUAAGUGUGGCCGGGCACUUUGAAAUUUCCAAACGAGCUCGUCCUCGUGGAUAAACACCAGUGAGGGUGUUAUAUAUUUAUGUUUGAGAAUUACUCGAGUAAGGGAUGCACGACAGGGGGAAAGUCCAAUGGUUAGCUACCAGGACUUGUCGGGUUGGCUUCAUAACCGACAAAUGAGACUCAUCAGCCACUAGGAGAGGCAUGCAUCAUAUGCAUCUAUGUGACAUUGUUUGGGUGUGCAUAUUGUACUUGGUUUGCCUAUCUGAUUAAUUAUGUUUAAUUGCUAUUUGCUCUACUUGAAGUAACUAUUUGUUUGUGCUUGAACUUUCCUACUUGUGUUUGGGACUAAAGCUCUGUUGGAUUGUGGUGGAUUGGUUGUUGUUCGGAUUAUUUGGGCCUAGGGCCGUGGUUGAUCAUGAAGUGGGCCGAAGACCAUGUUUGGUUUGUGUUUCUGGUUUAGAAAAAUAUGAAAAACUAAACUGGUUCAGCAUAGACUUAAUGAACCUAUACUUGGAACAGGUUGGUCGUUCAUGCUGUUUUGGAAAAACCUUUUGAAAGGCUUUUGAAUUUUGAAGAAAUAACAGUUUCCUCCUUUAGAAAAGAUUUCAGAUUUUAAUGGUAAAUCUUUGGUUUUAAAAAGAUGCAUAAGGCGGUUAUUAAUCACGGUAACGGUUUUAUUUUCACGUAUCCUAUUAUAGUAAUUUUGCAACCCUAUAGUGAGAACCCUUUCGAAGAUGAUGUUCUCACUCCCCUACAGGUGUUUCAUUUUCAGGAUAUGGAUGAGGAAGUCACGAAGAGUUUAUUAUAUUUUCUGUUUAUAUGAUGUAUUGUAUUGUUUUUAGAUAUUAUGUUUUCUCUCGCCUUUAUCGAUAUACAUUCUGUAAGAGGGAUAGGAAUUGUAUUAGAUAAUGCUUGUAAAAUUAUUAAUAUAUAUGUAAAAUUAUUAAUAUAUAUAUAUAUAUAUCCUUUGUAAGUAUUGAUAUUUGUAUGGAUAUAUAUGUAUCUAUUAAAAAGUCUUUUGAGCGGUAAUAUGAUUUAAGUUUUAAACAGGCUCAUAUUUUAGUAUUAAAUAUUAUAAGAGUCGUUGUAAUACCCAAUCUAUCAGAGUGGCGCAGCCGGAAGCUUGACAUUUUGAUAGUUAGGGUGUCACAUUAUGGUAUCAAAGCGGUAUGAAGAAUGGACCGACUAUGCUUCAAUUGCAUACUCUGAGCGUUUGUCAUGUAGUAGGUCUUGUUCGGAUAACAAGAAUUAGAGCUUUAUGAACAUGACGGUCUAUUGAUUAAUGCCAUUAGUCUUGCAUUGUAUAAUUCCUGAUAUUAAGUUUGGCCAGCUUAAUACUAGUGAAUAUGUAUAUGAAAGCACUAAUGGGUUAUCAUAGAUGAUAUACAAGUUUUGGGUAAAGCGAAUCGUGUAACAGCCCAGACCACUCGCUAGCACGAUAUUAUCUGCUUUGGCACAUAAGGCCUCACGGUUUUGCCUUUGACGAUAUGGAUGAUAGCUGAAGCCCCCUACACUCACUUGUCAGAACGUGUCAUGCUAGGGAGAGGUAUCCACACCUUUAUAAGACACGCUUCGUUUCCCUCCCCAACCGAUGUGGGACCUUACAAUCUACCCCCUAAGGGAGCCCUGCGCCCUCGCUGGCACAUCGAUUCGGGCUCCAGCUCUGAUACCAUCUGUAACAGUCUAGACAACCCGCUAGCACGAUAUUGUCCGCUUUGGCAUACAAGGCCUUACGGUUUUGUCUUUGACGAUAGGGAUGAUAGCCGAAGCCCCCACACUCACUCGUCAAAACGCGUCAUGCUAUAGAGGUAUCCACACCCUUAUAAGGCAUGCUUCGUUUCCCUUUCCAACCGAUGUGCGGCCAUACAAUAUCACAAAAAAAAGUAAUUACAAUAAAAAAAAUUUUUAAUUAAAGAAAUAGCGUCACACAAGAAAUUGACUCAAUAUAAAAGGUUAAAAAAAAAGUAACGAUAAUAUGUACCCUUGUCAUUAAGAAUAGAUUAAUUUGGUUAAAAGGCUUUGAGCAAAAAAUUUUUUUAGGGCUUGUGAGAUCAAGAAGGUUUUUGGUUAAAUAGUCAAGAUACUAAUAUCACUUUGAUCAAUGUCUACGUUGGUUCUUCAUUUGGUUUAAGUUGCACAAUUAUCUUGCUCAUGCAUCAUACAUAUUUCUCUUAGUAAUAGUAGCAAUUUUUUAAUACAAAAUUCAUAAGUCCGUUUGGAUAUGGAUGAAAGUCAAAAUAACAAUGAAUUUAUUUAUUUAUUUAUUUAUUUGAUAAGGUGGGAAUUUUUAAUCACCACAAAUAUAUAUUAAUUAAUUAGUGUAUGAAACUCUCAUUGAAGGUAGUUAUUUUUUUUUUUGUGCUAAGCAUUUUACGACUAGAGAUUCACUAGCUAUUUAUUACAAAAUAAUCCCUCUGGUAACUAAAUCUAGUUAAUACUUAAAUUUAUUCCUAAAAAAAUUUAAUUUUUAAAUCGUUUAUCGAAAAUUUUUAUUAGUCAUAUUAGAUUUAUUAUCGUAAGUCAAAUCGAUUCUUUCAUCGGUUAGAUGAUAACAUGUGCUCAUGUUAAGUGCUACAUGACAUAAUGAUAUAGCUAGUUAGAGAAUAAUGUGUGACGUUAAGUGCCGCACGUGCCAUGAUGAUAUAGCCAAUUUAACAUCAUAUAUAACAAAAUAAUUGAUUGAUGUGUCAUGUUACAUUAAUAUUCAAUUAAUCAUUUUGACACGUUAAUCUAUCACGUCAUCAUGUUACGAGACCCUUAAUAUUAUUGUUAUUGUCUGACUAACGAAAAGAUCAAUAUGACUAUUAAAAUUUUUUAAAGACCAAUUUAAAAAAUAAAUUAUUUUUUAUAGACAAAUUUAAAAAUUUAUUUCUCCUAACUCUAAAUUAUUAUUUAUUACAAUAUCAUGAAUCAGGCUCCUACUAAAGGUACUACAUCAAAAAAUGUUAAUUACUACUGCAUAAACUAAUCAUGAUUGAUUAUCAACAAAUUUCAAAUCAUGCAUUCUAUUAUGGGUUCAACUAGUAUGUGCCAUAAGGGCACAUUUUAGAAUUUUUAGUUAGAAAAAUUAAUUUAAAUUUUUAAUAUAUUUAUUAUUUAUUUAUUAAAGAAAACAAAUUAAUAAUUUCUACUAAUGAUUAGUUUAAUAUGUGCUUUUAUUAUGGUACAAUUUAGUUAAGCUCUUGUAUUAUUAUCAAACCCACCUUGGUCCUGUUGGUAUAGGAUAAUACUGACUCUAUAAAUGAGUACUCAAUUCGAUCUAACUCGUUCUGGUAGGAUUGAGAGCAUAGUGGGUUAAACAGGGUAGGGUUAAGAACCCUAACCGAUCUAUUCGCACCCGUAAUAAAUUAAAGGUUUAAUUAUUCUAUUGAUCUCUAUUCUUUCACGAAAUUUUCAAUUAUUAUGUCUCUAUAUUUUUUUUCCUUUUAAUUUGAUCCCUGCACUAAUUUUUUUGCAAUUAGAUCCCUUUUUAUAGUAAUUGAUUUAAUUGUAUAGGGACUCAAUCAAAAAAAAAAUUUGUGCAGGGACCCAAUUAAAAGGAAAAAAAAGUAUAGAGACCCAAUUAAAAAAAAAUUGGUGCAAAGACUCAAUUAAAAGAAAAAAAAGUAUAGGAAUCUAAUUAAAAAUUUUGCGAAACUAUAGAGACCAACAGAGUAAUUAAACUUAAAUUAAAGUAUAUUGUUAAAAAAUAUUAUACGUAUAUAAUGAAGUUGGUAGAGAUUAAACUCACAUUCUCUCUCUUUUGUAAUUUUAACAUAAAUUUUAUUAUAUUUUAUUACUUUUAUUUUUAAUAUGGACUUAAUUUUGUAUUUUUUUUAUUAACAUGUAUGAAAUACAAAAUGAUUACAUAUUAUGUUUGACUGAAAAAUUUUAUUUUGUUGCAGGUAUGGCUGAAUAAGGUCGGUGAAAAACAUUAGGGUGUGAUUAAGAUUAUAAUUAAAAAAAUUUUCAACCUACAAAUAAGAUAUAAUUAAAUUUUAGUAAUAAUUUAAAUGCACAAGUAAGAUUAUGAUAGAAUCUAAAUCUUAUCUUUAUCCUUUUUUUUCCAAAAAAAAUUCCAACUAUUUAAGUAAAAUUAUUAGUUUGAAAAAUAAUAUGAUUUUAUUUUGUCAACAUUAAUUAGAUGAUUGACUAUUCUCUCUAUUAAUUAAGGCUUAGAUUUAUAUUUGACCAAAAGAUAUUUUAUCAAAUAUAUUCUCUUAUAUAUAAAGUUAUAUGAAAAAUACAAAAUCACGUUUAAUUUUUGCUAACAUGAUAAUUAAUCUUUGACUUAUAAAUUUUUCAUAAAAAAAUAAAUAUUGGAUUUAUAAAAGAUUACCAAAGCGGCAAAUAAUUUGGGGGGAAAAUUAUAUUUUAGCAUUAAAUUUAAAAAAUAAUUUACUAAAAAUAUGAAUAAUGAGAAAACAUACUCAAUUUUGAUAAUUGUUAAACCAUGAAUAGAAUAUAAUUAAAACAAAUUUAAAAUUAUAUAUUUUAUGUAUAAUAUAUUAUAAUUUAUUAUUAUCUUUUGACAUUCAUCCAACUCUAUAAAUUUACAUCAAAAGGCCUUCAUAGAAGCCAUCAAAACACAAAAUAUUUGAUGGGAGUUAGUUUUUCUUUAUAACUCCAGACUGAGGCUUAUGCCAGAUAAAUUGAGAUCAAGAUGGGAAGAUUCCUAUAGAGUAGAGAAGGCAGAGCCAUACGGAGUUUUUCACCUGCGUCAUCUUUCUAACUCCAAAUUUAUAAAGGUCAACGGACAUCGCAUAAAGCUUUAUCAUGGUGAAAAGAUAAAGGAUCACAAAGAACUAGAGAUUUUCCUCUGGGAAGACCCACCAACAGAAGCAGAAUGAGCCUAAAGACGUCCAACUUAAGGACGUAAAAGCAAAGUGCUAGGUGGGAGACAACCCACCAUGGUAUGAUCGUUCAGUUUCCGUCUUAGUUUUCUUUUACUUUAUUCUAUUUUGUUUUUGUUAAUGACUCUUCUCAUAAUCUCUGCAUAUAGCUACAUAUAGCUUGCAUUUGCAUUUGCAUACUGCAUAUAAAAAAAAAAGAAAAAAGAGGCACGCGACGCAUAAGCGUCGCUGACGCGUUCGCGUCAUAGGUGCCUUGGACACGAGAAAAAAAAAGCAAAGAGUCACACGAAAGCGUGGCUGGAGGCGUGCCUUAGGCACAAGCAUGCCCAUGCGAAAGCGUCGCUGACGCGCCCGCGUCAUUUUGGAAAAUAGCCUCCCCACGCGUGCGCGUCACCCACACGCACGCGUGGCCCUACAAAAUUGACGUAAAGAGGUAUAUGGCAGCAAGUUAUGAUGGAGUGGGGCUGGAAUGUGCUGGAAGCACCAGCCCUAUCAUGCGAACGCGUGCCCUACACGGCCGCGUCGUUUUACAAAAUCAGGCCAUUCAUGCGUGUGCAUCACCCACUCGCACGCGUCACCCACAUUUUUGGCAAUGUGCAUUUAGAACAGAGAGUUGUGCGUACGCGAGGCUGCACUCGCGCCAAUAGCACAAAUCAGGUCACGCGUACGCGUGACCCACGCGUCCGCGUCACCUGAACUUAUCACCCACCACACGAUCGCAUGCCCCAUGUGUCCGCGUCACAUGCGACGCACAGCUUAUCCAGAUCAGCCCAGAUGUCUUAUCUUUUCUUCCCCAAAUCCAAAUCUUUUCUUUUCCCUUCUUAUUUCUUUCUUCUACCUUCUUCCCUCUUUAUUCUUUCUCACUUUUUACUUCCUUCUCCCUUAUUUUUCACUUUCAUUAUCAAGGUUCUUUUCUUUCUUUCUUCCCUCUUUACUUUUUAUUAUUUUUAUUUAUGUUUUCUUUUCUUCUUCUUUUUCUUUCUACUUUCAUUAUCUAUAUUUUCUUUUUUCUUUCUUUUUCUUUUUAUUCCUUUAAUUGGUGUUAGAAAUUUAAUUAGAGUAUUAUUUUCUUCUAUAUUUUGCUUGUGAGUAUAUUAAGGAAUUGUUUGACAAUUAAUAUUACUUCUUAAAGGGAUGCUUGCAUGUUCAAUUUAAUACUUUUAAUAACAUAUUUACCAUGCAUACUAUGUGUUUGUGUAAAAGCCCGUAUGGCAUUGUGUAUUAUUUUAAAUUAUUCUAUUCUACUACUCUAAUGCCUGUUUUUCACAAAAUCCCUUUUAUAUUUUAUUGAUUAAAUAUAAUUAUCAAUACAAACAGAUUGUUAGUUUGAAAGGGUUGAUAAUCUAACUUGGACAUUUCAUGCUUGAUCUAUGCUACUCAUGCCCUUGCUGGCAUGUCAAUAAACAUCUUGCAUUUAAUUUCCAUCAUAUGCACUUGCUAUAUUUCAAUUGAUGAACUUUUCACAUGUAGUCAUGACCAUGUGUUAACGACAUCCUUCUUUACCGUGCAUUAUUAUCACAUAUACCAUCCUCUUUCUUGCUCAAACCCUUAGCUUUAAAUAUUACUUUCUUUUUCCUUUUCAGGAUGGCCACCAAAAAGGGUAAAGAGAAAGCUACUCCCAAACUACCAGCAAGAAAAAGAACAAAAAGAGCACUAGUGGCAGAGCCAUCUUCAACCGCAGUAAAGCCCUCAACAAAGCGAAUCAAGAGGAUCAUUGAUAAACCAUUAUUUUAUGGUUUAUAUUGUGUUCAAUUGUGUGGUUUUAUCAAAUCUUUACCCACUUAUUCAUAUGAUUAGCAUGUAUUUACAAUUCCUUCCCAAAAUUACUCCAUGGUUGAAAACUUGCUUCCUAGAGACUUUUAAUUAUGUAUUUUAAUUCUCCUUUAUUCCAGUCGAUGCCGUGAUCCGUGUGUUAAGUGUUUCAGGCUUUUUAGGGCAUGAAUGACUUGGAAAUUAGAGAGGAGGCUUGCAAAAAUGGAAGGAACACAAGAAAUUGAGGAGAUGACCAGCGAGAAGUGACGUAGGUGCAUGGAUCACGCGACUGCGCGAAAUAGAGAAAAUUGUAGUGACGCGCUCGUGCGCCUGACGCGAACGCAUGGAUUGGAAACUGCACAAGUGACGCGAAUGCGUGGACGACACGCACGCGUGGCAAGGCAAAACGCUGGAUGACGCGAACGCGUGGAUGACGCGAUCGCGUGACGUGCGCGAUCUGCAAAAUUUGCAGAAUUCGCUGGGGGCGAUUUUGGGCCAUGUUUUGACCCAGUUUUCGGUCUAGAAAAGCAGAUUAGAGCCAGGGAACAUGCAGAGACCGGAGGGAGAUUGAUCCCGCAUAAUUUUUAGUUUUCGAUAUGAUUUUACUCCUCCUCUAGGUUUUCUCUCUACACAUUCAUAGUUCUUAGGAUUUUGUUUUUAUUACUUUUUUGGAUUGGGAUAUUGAGAAGAGUUAUUACCUCCGCCAAGACUUCAUCAUUCUAGAUGAAUAGAAAUAGACUUCCAACUUGCUUGACUUUCCUCUACCUGGUAAAGGAUAACUAAGCAGAACAACCUUCAAUUAUCAAUUAAUCUUGGGAGAACUCCAACAAGGAUAGACUUUCCGACUAAUCUACUCCCGGUCAAGAUUUUUAUUUAAAUUACAUAAAUUCUCUGAUUUAAUUUUCCGUUUAUCAAACUCAAAACCAUUUUCAAAACAUCUGAUUAAUAAAAUAGCACAUCUUUCUGCAUCUCGUUGGGAGACGACCUGGGAUUCAUACUCCCAGUACUUUAAUUCUAAUUUUGUGACAACCCUUCUAAAUUGAUAAGCGGAUUUUUGUUGGUUAAGAACUGUACUUGCAACGUAUCUCUUACAUUAAUUUCUUAAUCCGCCAAUUUCCGCCACGUCAAUCAUCAAGGUCGAUGAAAAAGAGAAAACUUUUCCAGCAAGGGACAUUGCGUGGUUCACUAACCGCUACUGUGAGCAGAUAUUCCCCAUCCUGGCUGAGAUAAACUAUAACAAUGAGCACCUUCUCAUUCUCCCAACCCACAUUGUUGAAAUUGUUGAGCCCUGUAUUGAGCAAAAAUAAUGGGAAUUCCUACGGAGACAGCCACGGCAGGUUAACCUUUCAUGGGUAGUAGAAUUCUACUCCAAUUUUCACAUUCCAACCAUGCAGUCUGUCUAUGUCUGUCAGAAGCAAGUUCCCAUAACUGAAGAGGCCAUUCAAAGAGCUUUAGAUCUCGCCUCUGCACCAGAAGGAUUGGACGCAUUCUAAGAAGCCUCAUUCAAAUGCUAGACAUACCAAUUUGACUGGGAUGCCAUUCUCAGAGUUAUAGCACAACCUGGCAGCAGAUGGAUCUAUGGAUACCAUCGAUCUCGACCUAAGAGCAUAUUAGCUUCAACACUCACCUUAGAGAUCACGGGCAUGGCUAUUCUACUCUGGUGUAUCCUUACAGACCAGCACCUCAAUUUACUAAGACACAUUCGACAUGCUAUGGGACACAUACAGAUCAUGGGCAACCUACCUUUUCCUACCCUGGUUUCAGAUCUAGUCUCAGCAGCCGGAGUCUCCGACAGAGCUGGAGACACUAAGGCCAUGAUUCUAAGGGAUGAUCAGAUAGUCCCUAACGGAAAAUAUAUCAGACCUCCAGCAACCACUGCUAGUCGGCCUGCAGACACGACUGAAGAUAUUCCUUCUCCUUCCACAUUACAAGCACCUUCAACAAACCAACUGCUCCAUCAAAUACUUGAGAGGCUAGACUGGCUUGACCGGAAAGGAAAGCAAAGGGAACGCCGUAACAAGUGCCGAUUUACAUACCUCAAGGAGCUGCUUAUUGGUAACCGCCCACCUGAAGAAGAACCAGACACUCCGGACUCCACUUCAUUUACCAGCACAGGGAGCCAUGACGGUCCCGAUUGUGGAGAUGCUGCUACCAGCCCCCCGUUGUUCCUGAUUGAUGGCGCCGAGGACGUUGCCAAGCUUUAAGUGUGGGGAGGUCGGUCAGUAUCUGACUUCCGGAGGUAAUUUCUCUUCCUUAACACCAAUAGAAUAGGAUAUUUAUUUAAUUUUUCAGUUGUUAGGAUAGGAUAAAAUUGUAUAGUAAUAGGUUACUUGCAUGCAUGUUCUAACAUGCAUAUGAUUGAGGCCAUUAUUUUAUUAACUCACUUAUCCCAAAUAGCUUACCCUUUUAAUCACCUUUGUUAGCCAAUUUGAGCCUUUUAAUCCCAUUUAUUCUAUAUUUUACCACAUCACUAGCUUUAAACGGAAAAACAAGUAAUACCCCAAAUUGAAUCUUUGGUUAGCUUAAGAUAAAGAUUGUGUGUCAAUCAAGUGUGGAAAAACUGUGGGAACAUGGGUUAACAAAGAAAUGUGUUAUAUUUUUAAUUUGAUAAAAUAUUGGAAAUUUGGGUACCUACUCAUGUGAAACUAGAAGAAUUAUAAAUCCAUGUGCAUUGAUAAGCUAUGUUUAUGUUUCUAUUUUAUUUAAAAAAAAUCCAAAAAUAUUUAAGCAAUUAAGCAAUUAAAUAAAUGAAAAAAGGGACAAAGUUACCCCAAUGCUAAGUUAAGUUUAAUGAAAAAUCAAUGCAUUUGUGAUACAAGUUAAGAGAAAAGUUGAUGCAUGAGCAUGUAAUAUAAAAGUGGGAAAAUCUUGGGUAGCUAGGCAUGAUUUAAGAAAAAUAUAGCGUAUGUAUGUUAGGUGAUAGCUUAGGUUGAUCAAGGAUUCAAUUUAUAGCUUACUUAGCCAUAUAUAUAUACCCUCACCUUUACCUUGGCCCCAUUACAACCUUGAAAAGACCUCAUGAUGUUUGUAUUGGUACAUUAAAUACUUGUUGAUUGGUUAGGUGAAGAACAAGGUUUAGAAAGUAUGAUUAGAGAAGAAUAGAGUGAAUUACCCUAUACACUAGAGUGACUAGAUUGCAUAUACACCAUCAGUAAGGGGUUCAAUGCUUAAUUAUAUGUUCCCUGCUUUAAUGAGCUGUCUUUCUACAAGUUUACUUGUUUUUACUGUAUAAUUUGAAUUAGUAGAAUUUGAUUUAUUUUUGUCCUGAAGAACUUAUUUAUUUUUAACCAAGUAGACAAAAUCAUUUAAACAUAUAGUUGCAUACAUAGGUUGCAUUGCAUUGCAUGAGUCUUACUUUUCCCUACUCAUUCAUUUUAUCUCCUUAAGCUAAGCAUGAGGACAUGCUAAUGUUUAAGUGUGGGGAGGUUGAUAAACUACUAUUUUAUGGUUCAUCUUGUGUUUUAUUGAGUGGUUUAAUCAAGUCUUCACCCACUUAUUCAUACUAAUUGCAUGAUAUUAUAAUUCCUUCCUAGUUUUGUUCUAUGAUUGAAAACUUGCUUCCUAAAGACCUUUAAUUUAUGUAUUUUAAUUCUCCUUUAUACCAUUCGAUGUCGUGAUCCGUGUGUUAAGUGUUUCAGGCUUCAUAGGGCAGGAAUGACUUAGAAAAUAGAGAGGAAACUUGCAAAAAAGGAAGGAACACAAGAAACUAAGGAGAUGACCAGCGAACACUGACGCACGCGCAUAAGUGACGCGAGCGCGCGGAAUGAAGAAAAUUGCAUCGACGCGUGCGCGUGCCUGACGCGUACGCGUGGAUUGGAGUCUGCACGAAUGACGCGAACGCGUGGACGACGCGUACGCGUGACAAGGAAAAUAGCUGAAUGACGCGCACGUGUGGACGACGCGUACGCAUGACCUGUGCGAUCUGCAGAAUUAAUAGAAAAUGCUAGGGGCAAUUUCCUGCCGCGUUUUAACCCAGUUUUCAGCCCAGAAACACAAAAUAAAGCCAGGGAACAUGCAGAGACUCGACACAAAUUAGAUUCACAUCAAUACACAUACAAAUAUUCACAUUAGGAUAGUUUUUAGGUUUUUAGAUCUGAAUUUAGAGAGGAUUACUUUCCCUCUAGGUUCUCUUUACAUUCAUAGUUAAUUAGUUUUAUGCUUCUGGAUAUUGAAGAGUCAUUACCUCUGUUGAAAACACUAUUCGAGUUUGUUUCCUUACUCUUUUAUUUAUUCCAUAUUCUUAAUUCUUGUUUAAAGUAGUAAUUGGAUUAUUUUCAUGGAUUGUUAAUGCAAAGGAUUACUUUUACUUUUAAUUAAUUUAAUUUAAUUUAUCAUGUCUUCUUCUUAUAUUUUUAUGAGCAUUAUAUUCAUGUCAAUGGAGUAGAUUCCAUGCUUGACAUGGGGAUUGAUUAAAAGGAGACACUUGAGUUAGAAGGCUUAAGUGCUAAUAAAUUGGACGUUGUUGGCUAGUUCUGUAUUUACUAACGUUAGACCUUCCCAAGGGAGAGGACUAGGAUUUGCGAAUAAGAGUUAGCUCAAUUACUUGACUUUUCUUUAUUUAGUAAGGGUUAACUAAGUGAAAACAACAACCUUUUUAAUACUACACUUAAGAGAUACCAACAAGGAUAGAACUUUCAAUUAAACAUUCCCCCAGUCAAGGCUUUUUAUUUAGAAUAUUAAUAAUUAUUCAUAAUUUUUAUUGCUUUAAUUUACAAUUAUUUAAUUUCUCAUUAUUCAACUCUCAAAACUCUCGGAAAAAUUCUUAAUUAAUAAAAUAGCAUCCUUUCUUGCAACUCGUUGGGAGACGACCGCUGGGACUCAUACUCCCAGUAUUUUUAUUCUAACUUUUUGUGACACCUUUUUAAAUUGGUGAGGCGGAUUUUAGCUAGUUAAGAGCUAUACUUGCAACGCUGCUCUCUUAUUUAAAAUCUCUUAAUUGGCCUAACUUCUGCCACGCAUCACUCUUACUUGGAGAAUAUGUUAGAUGCUCUCUCUACUACUUCGAUAAUCACCAUUAAGAUAAUAAUCAAUCCAAAUAUGAGAUAACUUUUCACUCAAUAAGGGAAUAACACGUGAUCAAUUUAUCUUCAAGAGAUGACAAGAUCACCCUUUCUACUUUAUAAAUACUACAAUAAUCAGGUAUUUUUUUUAAUAUAAUUUCAUUCAAGUCUGCUAAAAUUUUUACUAAAUUAAGUAUCAGAACUCUUUCACGGUACCCCAACCUAGAUGAGGACGUCAGAAAAAUCACCCUCUUGAGGAGCGAGUUGAAAAUAUUCCUUAGAUGUUUUGACCUCAUGUUCAAAUCCAAAACACUAUACAAUUUCAAGUAAUUUAUGGAACAGCUAGAUAUUAGGGUGGUUUAUUUGUUAACAUGUUUAUUUUUAAUUUUUUUUCUUUUAGUGAUCAAGUGAGGUAGGACCAUUAUUAAAAAUAAUAUCACAAAAAAAAAGUAAUUACAAUAAUAUAACUGGUUAGAGAAUAAUGUGUGACGUUAAGUGCUGCACGUGCAUGAUGAUAUAGCCAGUUUAACAUUAUAUAUAACAAAAUAAUUGAUUGAUGUGUCAUGUUACAUCAAUAUUCAAUUAAUCAUUUUGUGACAUGUUAAUCUAUCACGUCAUCAUGUUACGAGACCCUUAACAUUAUUGUCAUUAUGUGACUGACGAAAAGAUCAAUAUGACUACUAAAAUUUUUUAAAGACCAAUUUAAAAAAUAAAUUAUUUUUUAUAGGCAAAUUUAAGGAUUUAUUUCUCCUAACUCUAAAUUAUUAUUUAUUACAUUAUCAUAAAUCAGACUCCUACUAAAGGCACUACAUCAAAAAAUGUUAAUUACUAUUGCAUAAAUUAAUUAUGAUUGAUUACCAACAAAUUUCAAAUCAUGCAUUUUAUUAUGGGUUCAACUAGUAUGUGCCAUAAAGGCACAUUUUAAAAUUUUUAGUUAGAAAAGUUAAUUUAAAUUUUUAGUAUAUUUAUUGUUUAUUUAUUUAAGAAAACAAAUUAAUAAUUUCUACUAAUGAUUAGUGUAAUAUCUGCUUUUAUUAUGGUACAAUUUAGUUAAACUCUUGUAUUAUUAUCAAACCCACCUUAGCCCUGUUGGCAUAGGAUAACACUAACUCUAUAAAUGAGUACUCAAUUCAAUCCAACUCGUUCUGUAGGAUUGAGAGCAUAGUGGGUUAAAUUGGGGGUAGGGUUAAGAACCCUAACCGACCUAUUCGCAUCCGUAAUAAAUUAAAGGUUGAAUUAUUUUAUUGAUCUCUAUAGUUUCACAAAAUUUUUAAUUAGGUCUCUAUAUUUUUUUUUCUUUUAAUUGGAUUCCUGCACCAAUUUUUUUUUUCAUUUUGAUCCUUUUUUACAGUAAUUAAUUUAUAGUCCAUACUUUCCUCGAGUUGAGAUCACGCAAACUGGCAUUUAACACCAAGUCUCUACCCUAUUCUGGCGUUAAACGCUAGAACUGGCAUAAAAGUUGGAGUUAAACGCCCAAACUGGCACAAAAGUUGAAGUUAAACGCCAGGAGCAGCCUAUGCACAUGAAAGCUUCAAUGCUCAGCCCAAACACACACCAAGUGAGCCCCGGAAGUGGAUUUCUGCACUAUCUAUCUUAGUUUACUCAUUUUCUGUAAACCUAGGUCACUAGUUUAGUAUAAAAACUACUUUUAGAGAAUUACUAUGGACCUCGUGACAUUUCACAUCUGACUUUUGUAUCUUCUACAGCAUGAGUCUCUAAAUUCUAUGGUUGGGGGUGAGGAGCUCUGCUGUGUCUCGAUGGAUUAAUGCAAUUACUACUAUUUCUCAUUCAAUCACGCUUGUUUCUAUUAUAAGAUAUUCAUUCGUACUUCAACAUGACGAAUGUGAUGAUCCGUGACACUCAUCACCAUUCUCAACCUAUGAACGCGUGCCUGACAACCACUUCUGUUCUACCUUAGAUUGAAUGUAUAUCUCUUGGGUACCUGGUUCACGAGUUUGACUGCCUCUCCUGACAACAGAGCAUUCAAAUCCAUGAGAUCAGAGUCUUUGUGGUAUAAGCUAGAAUCAAUUGACAGUAUUCCUGAGAUCCGAAAAGUCUAAACCUUGUCUGUGGUAUUCCGAGUAGGAUCCGGGAAUGGAUGACUGUGACGAGCUUCAAACUCAUGAAUGCUGGGCGCAGUGACAGUGUGAAAAAGGAUCAAUGGAUCCUAUUCCAACAUUAGUGAGAACUGACAGAUAAUUAGCCAUGUACAUGGACCCUUUUCACUGAGAGGACGGCUGGUAGCCAUUGACAACGGUGAUCCACCAACAUACAGCUUGCCAUGGAAGGAGACCUACGUGCGUGAAGAAGAAGGCAGUAGAAAAGCAGAAAUUCCGAAGACAGAGCAUCUCCAAAACCUCAACAUAUUCUCUAUUACUGCAUAACAAGUAUUAUUUAUUUUAUGUUAUUUACUCUUCAUAAACCCAAUUAUUUUUAUUACUAAUUUCCUGACUAAGUUACAAAAUAACCAUAGCUUGCUUCAAGCCAACAAUCUCCAUGGGAUCGACCCUUACUCACGUAAGGUAUUACUUGGAUGACCCAGUGCACUUGCUAGUUAGUUGUGCGGAAUUGCAAAAGUGUGAUUGUGAUUUUGUGCACCAAGUUUUUGGCGCCGUUGCCAGGGAUUGUUCGAGUUUGAACAACUAACGGUCUAUUUUGUUGCUUAGAUUAGGAAAAUUCUUCUUUUUGGUUUAGAGUCUUCCGUUUGAGUUUAGUUUCAUAUUUUAAGUUUGGUGUCAAUUGGAUAAGUUUAUUUUUCUUUCAUUAUUUUUUCGAAUUAUUAGUGCUCAGAGUAUAAAAAUUUUUAAGUUUGGUGUCCUUUGUGUUUCUGUUUUCUUAAAAAAAAAUUUCAAAAAGUUGCUCUCAGUGUUCAUCUUGAUAUUCAAAGUUUUCCAGUUUGUUUUCUUUGUUUUGAUCUAAAAAUUCUAGGUUUGGUAUUAUUUUAUUGUUUUUCUCUCUUCUCAUUAAAUUUAAAAAUAUAUUUCAUAUUUAUUUAAUUGAAUUUUCGAAAAUUUCAUUUAAAAAUUCAGAUUUUUAUUUUAAAAUUUUUUAUUCUAUCUCAUCUUAGUUUUGAAAUUUCAAAAUUCAAAAUCAUUUUCAAAAAUUUUCUUAAUUAAUUAAUUAUUCUAGUUUUCGAAUUUAUUUUUUUUCCCUUUUUUCUGUUAUUUUUCAAAAUUUUAUAUUUUAAUUUCCAAAUAUUUUAUUUCAUCUUAUUUUUUUAUUUAUGCGGUUUGUUUUUAAUUAAAUAAAAUAAAAAUAAAAAUAUAUUUUAAUUACAUUUCACAUCAAUUCCCUUUUCUCCAUCAUGGACCAAAGUGGAAAUGAACAUUCCAGAAGGACUCUGGGGUCAUAUGCUAACCCCAUUACUACUGCAUAUGGGAGUAGUAUCUGUAUACCUCCUCAUCUUAUUUUUUUAUUUAUUUAUGCGGUUUAUUUUUAAUUAAAUAAAAUAAAAAUAAAAAUAUAUUUUAUUUGUAAUUCACAUCAAUUCUCUUUUCUCCGUCAUGGACCAAAGUGGAAAUGAACAGUUCAGAAGGACUCUGGGGUCAUAUGCUAACCCCAUUACUGCUGCAUAUGGGAGUAGCAUCUGUAUACCUCCCAUCAAAGCGAGCAGUUUUGAGCUAAAUCCUCAGCUCAUUGUCAUGGUGCAGCAAAAUUGCCAGUAUUUCGGUCUUCCACAGGAAGAACCUACUGAGUUUUUGGCACAGUUCUUACAAAUUGCUGACACAGUAUGUGACAAAGAAGUAGAUUAGGAUAUCUACAGAUUAUUACUGUUUCUAUUUGCUCUAAAAGAUCAAGCUAAGAGGUGGUUAAAUAACCAACCCACAGCAAGCAUAAGAACAUGGAAACAGUUAUCAGACAAAUUCCUGAAUCAAUAUUUUCCUCCAAAAAGGAUGACACAGCUAAGACUGAACAUCCAAGGCUUUAAACAAGAGGAUGAUGAAUCCCUUUAUAAUGCCUGGGAGAGGUACAUAGGGAUGCUAAGGAAAUGUCCCUCUGAAAUAUUUUCAGAGUGGGUGCAGUUAGACAUCUUCUACUACGGACUUACAGAAAAAGCUCAGAUAUCUCUAGACCACUCAGCUGGUAGAUCUACACACAUGAGAAAGACUAUUGAAGAGGCUCAAGAGCUUAUUGAUACAGUUGCUAGAAAUAAGCAUCUGUACAUAAGUAGUGAGUCCUCCAUGAAAGAAGAAGCUAAGGUAGUAUCAACUGACUUUAGUCCUUAGGAACAAGUUGCUGAACUCAAUCAGCAACUAUCUUCUAGAACAAGGCAGUUAGCAGAAUUUAAGGAGAUGCUACAAGAAACCAAAAAUGCUAACAAGGAUAUGGAAUCACAAUUGAAUCAGACAAAAUAGCAGUUAUCAAAAUAGAUAACAGAAGAGUGCCAAGCAGUUCAAUUAAGAAGUGGAAAAAUAUUGAAUACCUCAACUCAAAGCAGCAGUAAGCCAAGAAAAGAACAGCUGACAGAGGAUGAGCAACCUGCUACCCAAAAUCCCUCUGAGGACAAUAAUAGCCCAGAGAGGAAUGAUUCUGGCAUUCAAACGCCAGAAAAGGGUAGGAAUCUGGCGUUAAACACCCAUCCAUCCCCCUAUCUUGGCGUUCAAAUGACAAUAAGGGAUCAGAUACCUACAAGUGCUGAUAAUAACUCCCUCAAGAAGGCUUCUCAACCUGCCUCUGUAGGAAAUAAACCUGCAGCAACUAAGGUUGAAGAAUACAAAGCCAAAAUGCCUUAUCCUCAGAAACUCUACCAAGCGGAAUAGGAUAAACAAUUUGCCCGCUUUGCAGAAUAUCUCAGGACUCUUGAAAUAAAGAUUUUGUUUGUAGAGUCACUUGAGAAAAUACCCUCUUAUGCUAAGUUCAUGAAAGAGGUCUUAAGUCAUAAGAAGGAUUGGAGAGAAACUGAAAAAGUUUUUCUCACUGAAGAAUGCAGUGCAGUCAUUCUAACAAGCUUACCAGAGAAGCUUAAGGAUCCCGGAAGCUUUAUGAAACCUUGCACAUUAGAGGGUACUUGUACCAAGACAGCUAUGUGACCUUGGGACAAGUAUCAACCUAAUCCCUACAUCCACUAUCAGAAAUCUUGGCUUGAUUGAAGAGGUCAAACCAACCCGAAUAUGUCUUCAACUUGCUGAUGGCUCCAUUAAAUAUCCAUCAGGCAUAAUUGAGGACAUGAUUGUCAAGAUUGGGCCAUUUGCCUUUCCCACUGACUUUGUAGUGCUGGAAAUAGAGGAGCACAAGAGUGCAACUCUCAUUCUAGGAAGACCCUUCCUAGCAACUGGACAAACUCUCAUUGAUGUCCAAAAAGGGGAAGUGACCCUGAGAGUCAAUGAGGAUGAGUUCAAGUUAAUUGCUGUCAAAGCUAUACAGCAUCCAGACACAUCAAAUGACUGCAUGAGUGUUGAUAUUAUUGACUCCCUGGUAGAGGAGAUCAACAUGGCUGAAAGUCUCGAAUUAGAGCUAGAAGAAAUCUUUAAAGAUGUUCAGCCUGAUCUGGAGGAAUCAGAGGAAAUAAAAGAACCACUGAAAAUUCCUCAAGAAGAGGAGAAACCUCCUAAACCCGAGCUCGAACCACUACCACCAUCCCUGAAAUAUGCAUUUCUGAGAGAAUGUGACACUUUUCCGGUGAUCAUAAGCUCUGCUUUAAAUCCACAAGAAGAGAAAGCACUACUUCAAGUGCUAAGGACACACAAGACAGCUCUUGGGUGGUCCAUAAGUGAUCUUAAGGGCAUCAGCCCAGCAAGAUGCAUGCACAAGAUCCUAUUGGAGGAUGAUGCUAAGCCAGUGGUUCAACCACAGAGGCGGCUAAAUCCAGCCAUGAAGGAGGUGGUGCAGAAAGAGGUCACCAAGUUACUGGAGGUUGGGAUUAUUUAUCCUAUUUUUGAUAGUCCCUGGGUGAGCCCUGUCCAAGUUGUCCCCAAGAAGGGAGGCAUGACAGUGGUUCAUAAUGAAAAGAAUGAACUAGUUCCUACAAGAACAGUUAUAGGGUGGCGUAUGUGUAUUGACUACAGAAGGCUCAAUACAGCCACCGGAAGGAUCACUUUCCUUUACCAUUCAUAGACCAGAUGCUAGAGAGACUAGCAGGUCAUGAAUAUUAGUGCUUUUUGGAUGGCUAUUCAGGCUACAACCAAAUUGCAGUAGAUUCUCAGGACCAAGAGAAAAUAGCAUUCACAUGUCCUUCUGGAGUAUUUUCCUACAGAAGGAUGCCUUUUGGUCUGUGCAAUGCACCUGCAACCUUUCAGAGGUGUAUGCUCUCUAUCUUCUCUGAUAUGGUAGAGAAAUUUCUGGAAGUCUUCAUGGAUGACUUCUCAGUAUUUAGAGACUCAUUCAGCUCCUGCCUUGACCAUUUAGCACUUGUUCUGAAAAGGUGCCAAGAGACCAACCUAGUUUUAAACUGGGAAAAAUGUCACUUUAUGGUGACUGAAGAAAUUGUCCUUGGGCAUAAAAUUUCAAACAAGGGAAUAGAGGUGGAUCAAGCUAAAGUAGAGGUAAUUGAAAAAUUACCACCACCUGCCAAUGUUAAGGCAAUCAGAAGCUUUCUGGGGCAUACAUGAUUCUAUAGGAGGUUUAUAAGGGAUUUUUCAAAAAUUGUAAAAUCUCUUAGCAAUCUGCUAGCUGCUGACACGCCAUUUGUGUUUGACACAGAGUGUCUGCAGGCGUUUGAAACUCUGAAAGCUAAGCCGGUCACAGCACUAGUUAUUUCUACACCAGACUGGACAUUACCAUUCGAACUAAUGUGUGAUGCUAGUGACCAUGCCAUUGGUGUAGUAUUGGGACAGAGGCAUAACAAGCUUCUGCAUGUCAUUUAUUAUGCUAGCCGUAUUUUAAAUGAUGCGUAGAAAAAUUACACAACCACAGAAAAAGAGCUGCUUGCAGUGGUUUAUGCCAUUGACAAGUUUAGAUCAUACUUAGUAGGAUCAAAAGUGAUUGUGUACACUGACCAUGCUGCUCUUAAAUAUCUACUUAUAAAGCAGGAUUCAAAACCCAGGCUCAUAAGAUGGGUGUUUCUUCUGCAAGAGUUUGAUAUAGAAUUAAGAGACAGAAAAGGGACAGAGAACCAAGUGGCUGAUCAUCUGUCCCGGAUAGAACCAGUAGAAGGGGCGUCCUCCUCCUCUAUUGAGAUCUCUGAAACCUUUCCGGAUGAGCAAUUAUUUGCCACUCAGGAAACACUAUAGUUUGCAGACAUUGCAAACUAUAAAGCUGUAAGAUUCACACCCAAAGAGUAUAGCAGGCAGCAAAUAAAGAAAUUGAUCUCUAAUGCAAAGUACUACUUAUAGGAUGAACUAUAUCUCUUUAAGAGAUGUGCAGACGAAAUAAUCCGUAGAUGUGUGCCCAAGGAAGAGGCACAGAAGAUCUUAUGGCAUUGCCAUGGAUCACAAUAUGGAGGCCAUUUUGGAGGUGAGCGAACAGCCACCAAGGUUCUCCAAUGUGGCUUCUACUGGCCUACUCUCUAUAGAAACUCCCUAGAGUUUGUACGUAAUUGUGACAGCUGCCAGAGAGCUGGUAAUCUGCCUCAUGGUUACGCCAUGCAUCAACAAGGGAUCUUGGAGAUUGAGUUGUUUGAUGUAUGGGGUAUUGACUUCAUGGGGCCUUUCCCACCAUUAUACUCAAACACAUAUAUUCUGGUGGCAGUAGACUAUGUAUCUAAAUAGGUAGAGGCAACUACAACACCCACUAAUGAUACUAAGAUAGUGCUGAAAUUCCUCCAGAAACAUAUCUUCAGCAGGUUUGGUGUCCCUAGAGUACUAAUUAGUGAUGGGUGCACUCAUUUCUGCAAUAAACAGCUUUACUCUGCUAUGGUCCGAUAUGGAAUUAGCCACAAAGUAGCAACUCCAUAUCAUCCACAGACAAAUGGGCAGACUGAAGUCUCUAAUAGAGAACUAAAAAGAAUCCUGGAACGGACUGUAAUUGUCCGUAGAAGGGAUUGGGCAAAAAGCUUGGAUGAUGCUCUGUGGGCAUACAAAACAACGUUCAAGACUCCUAUAGGAACCUCUCCAUACCAGCUUGUGUAUGGCAAAGCCUGUCAUCUGCCCGUGGACUGGAGCAUAAGGCCUACUGGAAAACUAGAUUCCUAAACCUAGAUGCUAAGUUAGCUAGAGAGAAGAGAUUACUCCAAUUAAAUGAGCUAGAGGAAUUCAGACUCAAUGCUUUCGAAAAUACAAAAAUUUACAAUGAGAAAGCAAAAAGGAGGCAUGAUAAAAAACUGUCAUCCAGAGUCUUUGAACCAGGACAGAAGGUUCUACUGUUUAACUCUAGACUCAGAUUAUUCCCUGGGAAAUUAAAAUUCCGGUGGAGGGGACCAUAUGUGAUUACAAGUGUGUCACCAUAUGGAUAUGUAGAGCUUCAAGAUAUUGACUCUGAUAAAAAGUUCAUUGUUAAUGGACAGAGAAUCAAACAUUAUCUUGAAAGCAAUGUUGAGCAAGAAUGCUCAAAACUGAGACUAGAUUAAAAGCUCAGUAAGGUCCAGCUAAAGACAAUAAAGAAGCACUUACUGGGAGGCAACCUAGCCAUUACCAAAGUUUAUUUAUUAUUCAAAUAAUAAUAAUUAUAAGAGUUUGAUAUAAAUCAUCUUCAAGGUUAAUUAUCAAUUGUAGGAGUUCACAGAGUUACAGAAUGAUUCAAAGCAUAAAAUAGAGAAAAGGAGCUCACUGGCACAAAAACGCCAGUAAGGGGUAUUUUGGGCAUUAAACGCCAGAAUAGGCACCAUUCUGGGCGUUUAACGCCCAGUGAUAAAGGCUUUCUGGUCUGGCGUUUAACACCAGCCAGGGUACCUGGCUAGGUGUGAAACGCCCAAAAGAAGAAAUAAAUGGGCGUUAAACGCCAGAAUGGGUGCCAUUCUGGGCGUUUAACGCCAGGAAUAUGGAGGGGAGGAAGUUUUGUUUCCAACUCAAUUUUUUUUCAAAUUUUCAUGGUUCCAUCCAAAAUUUCUUGCAUAAACAUGUUACAAAUUAUCAUCUUUCAAUUUCAAUUUCAAAAAAAAAAAAAACAAAUUAAAAAUAAUUUUUUCUUUAAUCCUAAAAAUCUUUCUCAAAUCUUCUUCAAUUUCUUUUCAAAUCUUUUUCAAAACUCAUCUAUCUUUUUAAUUUCUUCUCAAAUAUUUUUCAACUCAUCAUACUAUCUUUUCAAAUUCAGAUUUAUCUUUUUCAAAUCUCUCAUAUCUUUUCAAUUUUAAAAUUUCAUCUUUUUCAUAUCAUAUUUAUCUUUUACAAAUCAUAUCUUCUAUCAUAUCUUUUUCAAAAUUUUUGAACCCACCCCCUCCCUUAUAAAUUCACACUCGGCCUCCCCCUCUCAUCCAUAACUCGAAUUUGACUCUCCUUCUAUUCCUCUCAUUUCCUUUCUUUUACUUGAGGACAAGCAAACCUCUAAGUUUGGUGUGUUUUUCGUGAACGUUGAGCUAAGAUUCAUUAAGAUCAUGGCUCCUAAGGAAAAACAAACCACUUCAAGAGGCAAGAAAGAGAACACUCCAAAACCACUUUGAAAUCAAGAGAGGUUCUUAACCAAAGAACAUGCAGACCAUUACCACAAAAUAAUGGGUCUAAGGUCAGUGAUCUCAGAAGUUAAAUUCGAUCUGAAAGAAGAUGAAUAUCCGGAGAUCCAAGAGCAGAUUCGAAACAGGGGCUGGGAAAAUCUAGCUAAUCCUGAGACAAAGGUGGGUAGAAACAUGGUUUAGGAAUUCUACUCAAAUCUGUGGCAAACAGAUAAGCAGAGAAUGACUGGAACCGCCUUCUAUACCUUUCGAACCAUGGUCAGAGGGAAGAUUAUUUACUUCCACCUGGACAAAAUAAGAGAGGUCUUCAAGCUACCUCAACUACAAGAUGAUCCAGAAUCCUUUAAUAGGAGAAUGGUGAGAUUAGCUAAGUACUUGGACCAAGUUCUAGAGGACAUAUGCAUCCCUGGAACCAAGUGGAUAACCAACAGAAAGGGUGUCCCAAAUCAACUCAAGAGAGGAGAUCUCAAACCAGUUGCUAGGGGCUGGCUGGACUUCAUUGGGCGUUCUAUACUGCCCACCAGCAACCGCUCUGAAGUCACUGUCAAAAAAGCAGUGAUGAUCCACUGCAUUAUGCUGGGAAACGAAGUGGAGAUUCAUCAUCUGAUUUCUUGUGAGCUUUACACAAUUGCAAACAAGAACUCCACUGACGCCAAAUUGGCUUACCCAAGCUUAAUCUCUCUGCUAUGUAAAGAUGCUGGGGUAAAGAUGGGAGUGGAUGAGUAUAUCUCAGUCGAGCACCCAAUCACCAAAAAGUCAAUGGACGAACAACAAGUGCAAGAUAACUCCAUCAAAAGGACGGCACAGGAGUUCAUCCCAGAAAUCCCUCAGAUUGACUACUGGACCCGCCUAGAAGCAUCUGUCACCAAGUUGUAAGAAGCUAUGGAUCAACUAAAAGAAGAACAGCAAAUUCAAAAUAGCAUGCUCUGUAAACUGCUGAAGGAACAAGAGAAGCAAGGGCAUGAGCUAUAGGAGCUGAAGCGCCAGAAGCUAUCUCUUGAAGAACCAGACACCCCCACGGAUUGAAGGAGCAUCCAUCUCCCAAAAUAAAGGUUGUUGAGCCCUAAUCUUAACUCUGUGAUAACUUUUGCUAUUAGAGAUCUACCUUAGGAGUCACAUGAAUAAUAGUAAUUAGUAUCUUUAUUUUUAUUUUUUAUUUUUUUAUUCUCUCCAAGUAAGCUAUAAAUUAUUUUUCUCAUCAUCAUUAAACAUGAAUAAGAUAGCAGAUUUUUUUUAGAAUAAGGAGGCAGUUUUAUUUUCGAGUUCUUAAUAAGAAAAUUUCAAAUUAUUUAUAUGUGGUGGCAAUACUUUUUGUCUUCUGAAUGAAUGCUUGAACAGUGCAUAAUUUUUGAUAGUGAAGUUUAUGAAUGUUAAAUUUGUUGGCUCUUGAAAGAAUAAUGAAAAAGGAGAAAUGUUAUUGAUAAUCUGAAAAAUCAUAAAAUUGAUUCUUGAAGCAAGAAAAAGCAGUGAAUACAAAGCUUGCGAAAAAAAAUGGCAAAAAAUAAAAGAAAAAGAAAAAGAAAAAGCAAGCAGAAAAAGCCAAUAGCCCUUUAAACCAAAAGGCAAGGGUAAAAAGGAUCCAAGGCUUUGAGCAUUAAUGGAUAGGAGGGCCUAAAGGAAUAAAAUCCUGGCCUAAGCGGCUAAACCAAGCUGUUCCUAACCAUGUGCUUGUGGCGUGAAGGUGUCAAGUGAAAAACUUGAGACUGAGCGGUUAAAGUCGUGGUCCAAAGCAAAAAGAGUGUGCUUAAGAACUAUGGACACCUCUAACUGAGGACUUUAGCAAAGCUAAGUCACAAUCUGAAAAGGUUCACCCAGUUAUAUGUCAGUGGCAUUUAUGUAUCCGGUGGUAAUAUUGGAAAACAAAGUGCUUAGGGCCACGACCAAGACUCAUAAAGUAGCUGUGUUCAAGAAUCAACAUACUAAACUAGGAGAAUCAAUAACACUAUCUGAAUUCUGAGUUCCUAUAGAUGCCAAUCAUUCUGAACUUCAAAGGAUAAAUUAAGGUGCCAAAACUAUUCAGAAACAAAAAGCUACUAGUCCCGCUCAUCUAAUGAGAAUUUGAGCUUCAUAUAAAACUCUGAGAUGUUAUUGCCUCUUGAUUUUCUUUCUAUCCUAUUUUAUUUAUCUAGUUGCUUGUGAAUAAGCAACAGUUUAAGUUUGGUGUUGUGAUGAGUGGAUAUUUUAUACGCUUUUUGGGGGUAUUUUCAUAUAGUUUUUAGUAGGAUCUAGCUACCUUUUAGUAUAUUUUUAUUAGUUUUUAUGCAAAAAUCACAUUUUUGGACUUUACUAUGAGUUCGUAUGUUUUUCUAUGAUUUCAGGUAUUUUCUAGCUGAAAUUGAGGGACCUGAGAAAAAAUCUGAUUCAGAUGCUGAAAAAGGACUGCAGAUGCUGUUAGAUUCUAACCUCCCUACACUCGAAAUGGAUUUUCUGGAGCUAAAGAAUCCCAAUUGGCGUGCUCUCAAUUGCGUUGGAAAGGAGAUAUCCUGGGCUUUCCAGCAAUAUAUAAUAGUCCAUACUUCGCUCGAGUUGAGAUCACGCAAACUGGCGUUUAACGCCAAGUCUCUACCCUAUUCUGGCGUUAAACGCCAGAACUGGCAUAAAAGUUGGAGUUAAACGCCCAAACUGGCAUAAAAGCUGGAGUUAAUCGCCAGGAGCAGCCUAUGCACGUGAAAGCUUCAAUGCUCAGCCCAAACACACACCAAGUGGGCCCCGAAAGUGGAUUUCUGCACUAUCUAUCUUAGUUUACUCAUUUUUUGUAAACCUAGGUCACUAGUUUAGUAUAAAAACUACUUUUAGAGACUUACUAUGGACCUCAUGACAUUUCACAUCUGACUUUUGUAUUUUCUACAGCAUGAGUCUCUAAACUCCAUGGUUGGCGGUGAGGAGCUCUGCUGUGUCUCGAUCGAUUAAUGCAAUUACUACUAUUUCUCAUUCAAUCACGCUUAUUUCUAUUCUAAGAUAUUCAUUCGUACUUCAACAUGAUGAAUGUGAUGAUCCGUGACACUCAUCACCGUUCUCAACCUAGGAACGCGUGCCUGACAACCACUUCUGUUCUACCUUAGAUUGAAUGUAUAUCUCUUGGGUACUUGGUUCACGAGUUUGACUGCCUCUCCUGACAACAGAGCAUUCAAAUCUGUGAGAUCAGAGUCUUCGUGGUAUAAGCUAGAAUCAAUUGGCAGCAUUCCUGAGAUCCGGAAAGUCUAAACCUUGUCUAUGGUAUUUUGAGUAGGAUCCGGAGAAGGGAUGACUGUGACAAGCUUCAAACUCAUGAAUGCUAGGCGCAGUGACAGUGUGCAAAAGGAUCAAUGUAUCCUAUUCCAACAUCAGUGAGAACCGACAGAUGAUUAGCCAUGUACAUGGACCCUUUUCACUGAGAGGACGGCUGGUAGCCAUUGACAACGGUGAUCCACCAACAUACAGCUUGCCAUGGAAGGAGACCUGCGUUCGUGAAGAAGAAGACAGUAGAAAAGCAGAAAUUCAGAAGACAGAGCAUCUCCAGAACCUCAACCUAUUCUCUAUUACUGCAUAACAAGUAUUAUUUAUUUUAUGUUAUUUACUCUUCAUAAACCCAAUUAUUUUUAUUACUAAUUUUCUAACUAAGAGUUACAAAAUAACCAUAGCUUGCUUCAAGCCAACAAUCUCUGUGGGAUCGACCCUUACUCACGUAAGGUAUUACUUGGACGACCCAGUGCACUUGCUGGUUAGUUGUGCGGAAUUGCAAAAGUGUGAUUGUGAUUUCGUGCACCAGUUAUUCUUGAGGAUUCCAAAGUGAUUUUCUUCCCAGCACACUUCAUCACUAGUACAUCCUUGUUUAAUUGUAGUUUCAUCAGUCCAUUCAAAACUCUUGCGAAGACUAUCUUGUUACUUUUCCUUCUUUUCUCUGGUCUUGUAUCUUUCUGAAUAAACUCGAGGAUUGCUUUAAAGUCACGUAUGCCCUCUAGGCGUAGCAUGCGAAAAGUUUCUUUAGUAUGUUGUUCGUGAAGGUGGAAAGGUAAAGUUUUAAAGUGCGCAGUAUCACAGGAAGCUAUGGAGUUUUAGUUUUCAUGCGAAAGAGUUUUGCACAUGAUUAGACUUGUGACCAGUAGUGGGCGUACGAAGGGAGUGAAGAGGUCGAGAACUCUCGGACGAGUUGUUUGAUAUAGUAUGGUUGGUAAUGGUGGAGAUGCGUCUGGAUGGAGUUGAAAGUUGAAGUUCUGAAGUGGGUAUGAGAUCGGUGAGCAAACAUUUUGCUCGUUGUUUAAAUACCGGCCUGCUUUGUAGCCUUUUGCCACAUUAACUAUAGCCUUGCUUUGUGAAUGCCUAUCUUAUAUCUUCUGCCUUACACAAUACUUUACCCUUAUAUUUAAAUCAUAUAGUUAUGCAGUUAUGUUAAACUUUCUUACUUAUCUAAAAAGCAUUUAGAAAGUAGAGUACCGAUUCUUUAUAUUAUCUUAUGUAUUCCUUCAAUUUUCGAGGACGAAAAUUUUUAUAAGGUGGGUAGAAUGUAAGACCCAAGAUUUUUGAAAAGUCUUAUUAUGAGUCAAUUUCAAUUUAUUUAUUCAUUAAAGAUUUUAGUUUCAGAAAUUAUUUUAUUAAAGUUGUAAAAUCCGGUCAAACCGUAAUUAAUUAAAUAAUAAAUUAAAUAGGAACAAACAUGGUUAGAAAAUUUAGCAAUCAGAAUUCGAUAAUUUAAAUAUGAUAUUUGGACUUAGUAGAUUUUUCUGAGUCGAAAAACAUAGUUUUCUGCGUAAAAAUGUGCACUGGAAAUUUGACAGGCAAUACCAGUUGAGAUCUAUCCGGUACUAUAGCUGAAAAAAUUAAUUAUAAGUGAAUAAAGUUAGGAAAUAAGAAUUUAUAAUUUGGAAAGAUAGAAAUAUUUAAAAUGCGAUUUAAAACUCUAAUCUUAAAGGUUUUGGCCCAAAAUUGGGCCAACGGGUUAAACCAAGUGAAUUGGGUCCAAAUGGGCCCAAGACCCAACAUAUAUAAACCUUAGUUAUGAGCAUUUCAGCUCUUUAACUCUAAAGAAAAAGUGUCGGGGUGCUGAAAUGGAGAAGAGAAGAAGAAGAGAGAAAAUCCUAACUCCAUCAAACUUCAAAUCACCAUAACUUUUGAUCCAAAACUCCGAUUGACGAGCCGUUUACGGCCACACGUCGCUCUUUUUAUUCUCUAAAAUUCUAUCUAAGUUUUUUGGUGUGUAUUCUACUGUAUUUUACCCAGUUUUUGUUUUUCUCUUUAAAUUCGAAUUUGGUUUGAGUUUUAAGGAAAUCUUGUGAUUUUGGUUAUUUAGGGGUGCUCUAGUAUGAGCCAUUAGUUAUAUUUAUCAGAAAAUUCAGUGGGUUAAGGUAAGAAACCUUUCAACCCUUGUGAUUUAUCAUUUUCAUGAACACUAGGUUAAUAUAUAUAUGUGAAAUUGGUUAUGUUAGUGUAUUUGGUGAUUUUGGUGCACAAUGGGAAGAUUCAAUUUGCUUGUGGAACUUUGGUGUGGAGGUUUAAGCUUGUGGGCCUUAGAGAAGAGAAUUUAAGUUUGGUUAUGAACCGCCGUCAGUAACGUACAUUUUAAGUUUCAUUUAAGUACCGUGUAGUGUGAUGAGAAUUCCUAGGCUAGAGCUCCUAGGAUUAAGUUUGGAUUGUGUAAAUGGUUGGUACUAAUAUGUAUAGUUGAUAUAUAAUGUAAAUUAAUGAUUGGGUUGAGAAUUGUGUGAAUUUGUAUGUUUGGUGUGUUGAAAAUUUGCUGAAUUAGAUAAUCAAUAUUAGUUUGUGGAAUAUGCAUUUAAAUUGUGAAUUUAGGCCGGAGGCCGUGAAUCUUGGGCCAGAGGCCAGAAAGAGGUAAGGAAGGUAAGUGAUGUGUGUAUUGUGUGAUGUCAUAUGAGAUUUAAUAGAAUUGUGAUUGUCGUUAUUUGGUUACAUUGGAUUGUAUGGAUUAUGUGGUUAUUGGUGUUGAAGGAGGAAUUGAUGUCUUUGUUGAUAAUGCAUGUGAGUUGUAUACGAUGAUAUGGAUUUGUAUGUAUUGGGGUUUGAUAGAAUUGGUAUUGUUGGAACUUGAAAUGUGGAAUGAAAUAUAUGUUAUGGUAUUUUGUUUGAAAUUGAGUUAUUUGAUUGAGAUUGGUCAAAAUGGUGGAUUGGUGGAUUGUGAAUUUAAUGAGAAUAUUGAAAAAUAUGAGUUGAGGAGGCUUGAGGUUGAUUUUGGUAAGUUUUGGUUGGUUUUGAAAAGGUUUGAAAUUGGUUUGUGCUGAAAAUUUAGUUUUUGUUUGUUUGUAUGAAAGUUGUGAUUUUAGUCUACUAUGACGGAGCAUAACUUGGUCUCUGGAUCCCCGAUUUGUAUCAAACUUAUUUAGAAAUAAAAUUGGAUCCAAGAUGUUUACGCCGUUCAAAGAACGGGUGGAAAAUGAUUGGAAACGAAAAAGUUAUGCCUGUCGGAAAUUUGGGGUUUGAAAAUAUAAUCCUGCAGCUUUUAAACUUAGUAAAAUUUUUGGUAAAACGUACUCCGAAACGUACGCAUGGCCGACGCGCACGCGUCACUCACAACUUUUACACUCUCACGCGUGUGCCUGGCUGACGAGUACAGGUCGCUGUAUUGAUGCAGGUGCGUGGUAUAAAUUCCAGAGAGUUGUGAUAGUAGCGUGCUAGUUUUGUGCGAGGAGCACAAAACGCAUCCACGCGUAUGCGUGGCUGACGCGCACGCGUCACCCUACCUCUCUACUUUCCAUGCGUGCACAUGAGCGACACUUACGUGUCACCCGCUUUUCUCCGCUUCCCAUGCGUGCGUGUGGGCGACGCAGACGCGUGACCCUGUUUUCAGCAAAUAUGAUUUUUGUAUUUUUAAACUGAAUUUCAAACCUUUAAGCCUCCAUUUUCAUUGUUUUAGUCUUAAAUCUUUAUAGUCUACCUAGUAAUGAAAAGAAGCUAGGACAUGUGGUAACUUGUGGAUGAAGUAAAGUGAGAAUCAAUGAUGAAUGAUGAGUAAAGAUGAUUUGUAUGAGUUGUUGAGGAUGAUGGUGAAAGUGCUGGGUAUGUUAUGAGCCGGAUGGCUGUGAUAAGCAUUGAAUUAUGGCUGAGUAUGUAUAUGUUUAUGAUUAAUGAUUAAAUGAUUAUGAUUGAUUGAGGAAGCUUGAACAUGUGGCGAAUAUGCCGGAGAUGCAUAUAUGAUUAAUGAAUGAAUGUGGUAAAUGAAUAAUGAUGGAAAAUGUUGAAUGUGAAUAUGCUUGUGUUUUCUCUCUGGUUGUAAGGGUGACAGGGCACCAAUACUCUCUAAUGGUGACAGGGCACAGAUACCCUCUAAUGGUGACAGGGCACAGAUUCCCUCUAAUGGUAAUAAGGCGCAACAGAGAGAAUGUGCCCGGGUAGUAGGCAGUGGCAUUGUACAUUUGCUCCGGGUAAAUUUCAUUAUUCUCACACUUAGGUAUAUAAUUCGCAUAUUUUACAUUUUUCUUCCUAAUUUUAUACCAUGAUUGAAAACAUGCUUCUUUGGCCUUAAUUUUGCUAAUUUUAAUUCUUCCUUAUUACCAUUCGAUGUUGUGAUAUGUUUGCUGAGUGUUUUCAGGGUUUAUAGGGCAGGAAUGGCUUAGAGAAUGGAAAGGAAGCAUGCAAAAGUUGAAGGAAUACAAGAAAUUAAGGUUUUGGGAAGCUGACAGCGACGCGCACGCGUGGUAUGACGCAUACGCAUGAAUGGCGCAAGAUACAUGCGAUGCGUAUGCGUGGGACGACGUGUACGCGUGACUUAAUUUUUUAUUUAGCAACGCAUACGCGUGAAUGACGCAUACGCGUGACAAAGCGUCAUGUACUGCAGAUAUCAGAAUUCACUGGGGGCGAUUUCUGGGCUCCUUUUUUACCCAGUUUCAGGCCUAAAAAUCCAGAUUAGAGGAUGCAGAGUAGAGCUGGAUGGAGGAAUCAUUCAUUCACUUAUCAUAAUACAACAUUAGUGAGGUUUUAGAUGUAGUUUUCUAGAGAGAGAGAGACUCUCUCCUCUCUCUAGGUUUUAGUGUUUCUUUUAGUUUUAAUUCUCAUCAAAUUCAGGUUUUUCAUAUUGCUUUAAUUUAGUUUCUCUUCUUCAUUUUAUUAUUCUAGCAUCUUAGUUUAUCUUCUCUUGUUGGUUUGUUUAUUUCUCCAAUUUAGUUUAUAAACUCUUCAUGUUACAUUUAAUUUCUUAUUAAUUCAAGUUGAGGUAUUUUAUGUUUAUUGCUUCUUUCUUCAAUUGUUAUUGUUGUCUUGCAAUUGGGUAUCUUAGAUUUUAUUAUCUCUUAUUAGUUCUCUAUGCUUUUAUUUUGUAUCUUCUAAGUGUUUGAUAAAAUGCUUGGAAUGGUUUUAAUUUAGAUUUUUAUGUUCUGAACUUGGAUUAAUUGUUUAGAGACUCUUGAGUUAUCAAAAGUCUUUUGUUGAUUGGUAAUUGAGACUUGCGAGUUAGUUUAGGCUUCACUAAAUCUAGUCUUUGAUUAGGACUUGUAAUCCUAAGUUGAUUUUACUCACUUGACUUACCUUCAUUCUUAGAGGUUAACUAAGUGAAAGCAAAAGGCAAUUACCAUCACAAUUGAUGAUGAUAAUGUGGAUAGGACUUUUAAUUAUCAAUCCUUGCUAAGAGCUUUCUUGGUUAUUAAUUUAUUUUCUUGCUAUUUUACUUUCUUGUUUCUUAUUUCAAAAACCCAAAAAAAUAUACUUUCCCAUAACCAAUAAUAACUACACUUCCCUGCGAUACCUUGAGAGACGACCCGAGGUUUAAUACUUCGGUUUACUUUUAUUGGGUUUGUAUUUGUGACAAACAAUUUAAACAUUGAUUGAGGAUUAAUUGUCGGUUUAGAACUAUACUUGCAACAUAAUGAGAAGGACAAGGCUGACCAAGCUACACCUUCUAACAAGUCAUAUAAGUUUGCCAACUGAUGAGCGGAUAAUUUAUACGCUUUUUAGCAUUGUUUUUAGGUAGUUUUUAGUAUGUUUUAGUUACUUUUUAUUAUAUUUUUAUUAGUUUUUAAAUAAAAAUCACCUUUCUGGACUUUACUAUGAGUUUAUGUUUUUUUCUGUGAUUUCAGGUAUUUUUUGGCUGAAAUUGAGGGACCUGAGCAAAAAUCUAAUUUAGAGGCUGAAAAGGGACUGCAGAUGCUGUUGGAUUUUGAUCUCCCUGCACUCGAAAUGGAUUUUCUGGAGCUACGGAAGCCCAAUUGGCGCGCUCUUAAUUGAGUUGGAAAGUAGACAUCCUGGGCUUUCCAGCAAUACAUAAUAGUCUAUACUUUGCUUGAGAUUUGAUGGCCCAAACUGGCGUUCAAAGUUAACCCAAAGAAUUCUGGCGUAAAACGUCAGAACUGGCACAAAAACCAGCGUUUAACGCCCAAACUGGCACCAGAGUUGGUGUUUAACUCCAAGAAAAGCCUAUGCACAUGAAAGCUUCAAUGCUCAACCCAAGCACACACCAAGUGGGCCUUGAAAAUGGAUUUCUGCAUCAUUUACUUAUUUCUGUAAAUCCUAGGCUACUAGUUCAUUGUAAAUAGGACCUUUUACUAUUGUAUUUUCAUCUUUGGAACAUAUUAUGUAAGUUUAACGUUCUGAGACCUCCAUGGGAGGCUGGCCACUUGGCCAUGUCUACCCUAUUUUUACUUAUGUAUUUUCAAUGGUGGAGUUUCUACACCCCAUAGAUUAAGGUGUGGAGCUCUGCUGUUCUUCAUGAAUUAAUGCAAAGUACUAUUGUUCUUCUAUUCAAUUCAAGCUUAUUCUUAUUCUAAGAUAUUCACUCACACUUCAACCGGAUGAAUGUGAUGAUCCGUGACACUCAUCAUUAUUCUCACUUAUGAACGCAUGCCUGACAACCACCUCCGUUCUAUCUGUAAUAAGUUGAGUGUGUAUCUCUUAGCCUCCUGGUUCACGAUGCAUGGUUGCCUCUCCUGACAACAGAGCCCUCUAUUCCGUGAGAUCAGAGUCUUUGUGGUAUAAGCUAGAAUCAAUUGGCAGCAUUCUUGAGAUCCAAAAAGUCUAAACUUUGUAUGUGGUAUUCCGAAUAGGAUCUGGGAUGGGAUGACUGUGACGAGCUUCAAACAUGCAAGUGUUGGGGGCGUAGUGACAGACGCAAAAGGAUCAAUGGAUCCUAUUCCAACAUGAGUAAGAACCGACAGAUGAUUAGCCCUACGUAACCCGUAGCCGGACCAUUUUCACUGAGAGGACGGACGGUAGCCAUUGACAACGGUGAUCCCCUAACAUACAGCUUUCCAUGGAAGGGAGUACGCAUGAUUGGAUGAAGGCAAUAGGAAAGCAGAGGGUUCAGAAGCAACAAGCAUCUCCAUACGCUUAUCUGAAAUCCUACCAGUAAAUUACAUAAGUAUUUCUAUCUUAUUUUCUGUUUUAAUUACAUUUUAAUCAUCAAAAUCUCAUAACCAUUUGAAUUCGCCUGACUGAGAUUUACAAGGAUGACCAUAGCUUGCUUCAAGCCGGCAAUCUCCGUGGGAUCGACCCUUACCCACGUAAGGUAUUACUUGGACGACCCAGUGCACUUGCUAGUUAGUUGUGCAGAAUUGUAAAAGUGUGAUUGUAAUUUCAUGCACCACCAACCUAUACUGUGAGCUUAGAUUUCUGUACUUUGAUAAGCGAAACCUCAUUGUGGAAAGGAAACUAGCUGUACCCUCUGAUCUGAAGCAGUAUACUGAGCGUCGGAUUGUGGAGAGGGGUUGGGUAUUUCUCGACAGAGAGCUAGUGCGAGUGAACGAGUCUUGGGUCUGGGAGUUCUUUUGCAAUUUCUACCAAGCGACCCUUGAUGCAGUUCAUCUCAGAGACAGGCAGAUUCUGAUUACAGAGGAGGCUAUUGAGGACAUCCUCCACUUUUAGCCUAAGAUCAGUGAUAAGGAUGCCUUCCAUCAGGCUGAGGAGGAUAUUAAAUGCAUGUGUUUUGAUUGGGACGCAGUGCAUCGUACGCUUGCCCUUCCUGAUGCCCCUUAGGAGCAAGGAUCUAAGAAAGAGACUCCGAGAGGCAUUAAAUUCGACUAUCUGACGAAGGAAGCCAAGCUAUGGCAGCAGAUCCUAUGCACCUAUGUCAUGCCUAGUACCCAUUCUACUGAGGUCCCGGCCGAUAUGGUAGUUCUGAUUUGGUGUGUCUUAGAGGGGAAGGAGCUGUACCUUUCACGACUCAUCAGGAGAUACAUGUACCGGGCCAAUAUCAGAGGCAACCUGCCAUUCCCUUGCUUGGUGACACAACUAGCUCACUGGGCUGAGGUACCCUGGGAGCAGGGCGAUGAGGCACCAGCCGCUCACGGUAAAGAAAAGGUUAUCCCUUGGGGUGACUGGUUUGGUGACCGCCCAGUAGCCCAGCGCAGAGACCGAGCGGCCAUAGCAGCAGCUACUGAUGAGCCGACUACUUCUUCAGCUGCAGCAGAACCAUCUGUACCAUCUCGAUCAGCACCUUCAUCUACAUCACAGCCAGUCUACCGCCUUGUGCAGUGCCUCUUUGAGCGCAAGGAUCGGAUGGAGCGGCACUUGUUGCGACGUUAUGAGCAGUCUGAGUGUUGUAACAAGCGACGCUAUACACAUCUGAAGCUGAUUGUGACUUUGGGAUGUACUGACAUCCCCUCGGAGCCUGAUACACCCUCGGAGCACUCUGAGGAUGAGAAGGACGAGCAGGAGGAGGCUCAGCAAGAGGAGACUCAGCAUGGGAUCCCUACAGAGCCACAGGCACCGGCACAGUCACAACCGACAGAGCCGGAGGCACAUCUAGCGACGGACGACGAUAAAGAUGCAGGCGAUGAUCCUUCUCACCCAGCUUGAUUGAGAGCAUCGAGGACGAUGCUGUGAUUUAAGUGUGGGGAGGUCGCCGUCUUCGGUGGAUUACAUUUUGUUGAACCAUUUCAGACUUUUAUUUUAUUUUGCUUUAUUUUGUUUUAUUUUUAGUACUUGCACAUUUUUAUUUUAUUGUACUUUUGUUUAUUUGUGCUUUGUUGCAUUUUGCACUUUGGCUUGUAUAUAUCUUAGUUAUUUAGUUUGAAUUGCACUUUUAGUAUAUUAGUUGUAAUUUGGAAAAAAAUAUGGAUUAUUGAGCUUAGUUUACUCUUUUGCAUAUGUGAAUUUGGUUUGAUUGAAAAUAGGGAGUGAACUAAGAAUUUUUGGCUUUCCAUAAUCACAUCAUAUCAUUUAGGAUAUGUAUAUAAGAAAUAUUGGUCAAAUUGAUAAAAUUUGCAAGGAAGGUUUCUUUUUCUUAAAAAGGGUAUUAAGAUUCACAUUGAUUUGAGUUAAAACUUUUUGAAACUUGCAUGAGUAUAUAUAUAUAGUUUGGAAUAUGAUUUUUGAGCUAAGAACACACAAUCCGUGAGUUUUUUAGCUUAAUUGCAUGGUUACAUUAUUUAACCAUAAUUUUUAUUCUUGUGUAUUUUCUUUUCUAUGAUUGCAAUCUGUGGUUUGUUCCAUUCUAUAUGUCCAUUAUUUAGUAUAUUUUAAUACAAUUAGGUGAUUGAGGCCAUCAUUUGAUUAUAGCUCACUUAUCCCAAAUAGCUUACCAUUUCAUUUACCUUUGUUUGCGACAUUGAGCCUUUUUAACCCCCUUUUAUUCUUUAUAUUACCACAUCAUUAGCCUUAAGCGGAAAAAAUAAUUAAUUGUCCUAUUUGAAUCUUUGGUUAGCUUAAGAUAAUGAGUGUGUGUCAACUAAGUGUGGGAAAAUGUGAGAACUUUGGUUGAUGAGAAUGUGCUUUGUUUUUAUUGACAAUUAUUGAGAAUUUGGGUUUAUACUCAUGUGAAAUUAUAUAAACCAUAUGCAUUGAUGUAUUAUGCUUUCAUAUAUAGAAAAACAAAAUAAAAAGAAAAGAAAGAAGAAGAAAAAUAAAAAAAGAGAGAAAAAGAUAAAAUUGUUAAGUUCAAUAAUAAAAUCAAUGCAUAUGUGGUGGAAUUAAAAUUGAUACAUGAGUGUGUGAAAAUAUGCAAAAGUGAGAUUUUGGGUGGCUAGGCUUGAUUUUAGAAUUGUAUAGAGUGUGUGUAUGUGUUAGGUGAGAACUUAGGUUAGUCAAAGAUUCAUAUGAUAGCUCACUUGGCCAUAUAUAUAUAUCCUCACCCUUACCUUAGCCCCAUUACAACCUUAAAAAGCCCUCAUGAUAUUUGCAUUUGUACACUAGAUAAUUGUUGAUUGGUUAGAUGAAGAACAAAAUUUUUGAAAGCAUGAUUAGAGAAGAUUUGAGUGGUUUAACCCCAAAAUACCUGAGUGAUUAGAGUGCAUAUACACAUCCAGUGAGAGUUCAAUUGCUUAUUUCCAUAUGUCCAUAUUUGAACAUUGCUUGUCUUGCAAGUUUGUGAAUUCUUUUAAAUAACUCAAUUAAACUGUGAAUGUACUUGAUGUGAUUUAUUUAGCCCUUGAUUGUGCAUAUAUCAUUUCUUGGAAAUUUGAUUCACUUUGACCACAUAUAUGCUUAUAUAUAUAGAUAGGUAGUAAUUAGAAUAGCAUGAUGCAUGUAGAUAGCUUGCAUUUAGAUAGGUUGCAUUGCAUAAGUUCUACCAUUUUACCUUCACUCUUUUGGUUCUCUUGAGCUUAGCAUGAGGACAUGCUAAUGUUUAAGUGUGGAAAGAUUGAUAAACCCCAUUUUUAGGGUUUAUCUUGUGCUUAAUUUAGCAAAUUUUAUCCAUUAUUCUCACACUUAUGCAUAUAAUUUGCAUGUUUUGCAUUUUCCUUCCUAAUUUUAUACUAUGAUUGAAAACAUGUUCUUUGGCCUUAAUUUUGCUAAUUUUAAUUCUUCCUUAUCACCAUUCAAUGCCGUGAUAUAUUUGCUGAGUGUUUUCAGGGUUUAUAGGGUACGAAUGGCUUAGAGGAUGGAAAGGAAGCAUGCAAAAGUGGAAGGAACACAAGAAAUUGAGGUUUUGGGAAGCUGGCAGUGACGCGUGGGAUGACGCGUACGUGUGACCUAGUUUUUAAUUCAGCGAGGCGUACGCGUGAGCAACGCGUACACUUGAGCGACGCGUACGCGUGACAAAGCGUCAGGUGCUACAGAUAUAAGAAUUCAUUGGGGGCGAUUUCUGGGCUCCUUUUUUACCCAGUUUCAGGCUCGAAAAUCCAUAUUAGAGGUUGCAAAGUGGAGCUGGAUGGAGGAAUCAUUCAUUCACUUAUCAUAAUACAACAUUAGUGAGGUUUUAGACGUAGUUUUCUAGAGAGAGAGACUCUCUCCUCUCCCUAGGUUUUAGUGUUUCUUUUAGUUUUAAUUCUCAUUAAAUUCAGGUUUUUCAUAUUGCUUUAAUUUAGUUUGUCUUCUUUAUUUUAUUAUUCUAGCAUCUUAGUUUAUCUUCUCUUGUUGGUUUGUUUAUAUCUCCAAUUUAGUUUAUGAACUCUUCAUGUUACAUUUAAUUUCUUAUUAAUUCAAGUUGAGGUAUUUUAUGUUUAUUGCUUCUUUCUUCAAUUGUUAUUGUUGUCUUGCAAUUGGGUAUCUUAGAUUUUAUUAUCUCGUAUUAGUUCUCUAUGCUUUUAUUUUGUACCUUCCAAGUGUUUGAUAAAAUGAUUGGGAGGUUUUUAAUUUAGAUUUUUAUGUUCUUAACUUGGAUUGACUAUUUAGAGACUCUUGAGUUAUCAAGUCUUUUGUUGAUUGGUAAUUGAGACUUGCUAGUUGGUUUAGGCUUCACUAAAUCUAGUCUUUGAUUAGGACUUGUGAACCUAAGUUGAUUUUACUCACUUGACUUACCUUCAUUGUUAGAGGUUAACUAAGUGAAAGCAAAAGGCAAUUACCAUCACAAUUGAUGAUGAUAAUGAGGAUAGGACUUCUAUUUAUCAAUUCUUGCUAAGAUCUUUCUUAGUUAUUAAUUUAUUUUCUUUCUAUUUUACUUUCUUGUUUCUUAUUUCAAAAACCCAAAAAAUAUACUUUCCCAUAACAAAUAAUAACUACACUUCGCUGCGAUUCCUUGAGAGACGACCCGAGGUUUAAUACUUCGGUUUACUUUUAUUGGGUUUGUAUUUGUGACAAACAAAUUAAAUUUGAUUGAGGAUAAUUUGUUGGUUUAGAUCUAUAAUUGCAACGUAACAUUUUUGUGAAAUUCUUUAUUGACAAUUUUCCUCCAUCAAUGAGUUUAAUUAUGGAGUUUUGAAUGUAUGUCUGUAAUACCUGGGUAGUAGCAAGGGUCGUGGUUCGUCCGACUUGCUCUGGGUCAUUGUUUGAGAAUUGGUAAUAAUGAAGGGUGAUUAUGAUUGAAUGUGUAUUUGUGAUACCUGGGUAGUAGCAAGGGUUGUGGUUCGUUCCGCUUGCUCCAGGUUAAUGUUUGAGAUUUUAUAACAACGAUGAUUGAUUUUAAACGGAAUGAAUGUAUGUUUUAAGUCCUGGGCAGUAGCAAGGGUUGUGGUUUAUUCCACUUGCUCCAGGUUAGAGAUUGUGACACCUGUGUUGUAGUGACAGUAGUGGUGAUUUCCCUCGCUCCAGAUUGAGCUUCUAAACACCCGCCUAGGUAGUAGCCGCAGUAGUGGUUAUUCUACUGGCUCAGGAUUGAGCGGGUAGUAGCAAGGGGGUUGUACCUCAAACCCUCUUGCUCCGCAAUGGGUGUUUCAGUCCAUGGUUAGCUACCAGGACAUGUCGGGUUGGCUAUAUAACCGACAGAUAAUAUCAUCAGCCAUAGGGCAGGUAUACAUCAUUUGCAUAUGUUUGAAUUGUUUGGGUUUUCUUAUUUGUUUUGGAUUGCUAUAUCAUAUAUACUAUGUUACCUGAUUAUGUGCUACUUGUUCUACUUGUACCUUAUUAUGUAUUACUUGUCUGUAUUGCUUGUGUUUGUACAACUGAGAGGUCCCUCAUGCCGGUGUCGGUUGACACAGAGGGCUGUUCUUGUUGAGAUGAAAUAAUGAUAUGAUUAAUUUAAACUUAUGAUUAUUGAAUGAGAUAAUUUGAGUUCCCUGGGUAGAUGCAGUGUCACUUGCUCCAGGUGAGGAUAUAAAGUAUUGAUAUAGAAUUGCUAAGACAGAAUAACUGGUGAUGGUUUGGCUUAUGAUUCUGAUUCUGAUUUGUUGGAAAGUUAGAAAGUUGGGAAGCAUGAGGAAGAGGAAUUAGAUUUAGCAUUCCCUUAUGAUAGUUGCCUAUUUAUGGAUUAGCGAGAAUAUAAGAUGAAUAUUACGUGAAAGGAAGUUUAGGAUGCUUAGUGAGUUUUUAUUACAAUGCAUUGUAUUUAUUUGGCACUUUUACCGUAAUGGGAACCCAUGGGUCAGGGGUUCUCAUUCCGUAUAUAUCUCUUAUUUUUCAAAUGCAGGUCCAGGUGCUAAACAGUGAGAUGUGAUUUGUCUGAAAGACGGUGAAGACCUUUUAAGAUCUCUUAUUUAUAUUUUUCUUAUAGAAUCAACAAAAACCUAUAGAUCAAUCACAAUUUCCAAAUCCAGAUCCAAUUUUAACAAACAGUAUAGAUCACGAAGAAGUUCAAACUUCACAUGUAGAUUCAAUUUCAAAAUUAUAACCCAAAUCUUCGCCAGCAAGCAAAGACGGCGAACCAAUGGCGCAACUAAUAUCGUCAAAAACUAAAGGUCUGAGUAAAGGUAGCAGCGUUGAGGCCGUGACAUCACGAAGGGAAAGGUGGAGGACAUAGAUCUUGAAAUGGCAGAGGAGGAAGGGGUGACUCGACCACCACCAAAGCCACCAAAUCAGAAUUCACACAUGAUGGUCUUGGGAGAAACUGCAUCAGCAGAGAUCAUGGCAGAAGCAACGCCGCACCGGGCAGAGAGCUUGACAAGUGAAGGGAAUGGUGGGGUCGCAUCAGCAAUUGUAGGAGGAACGACUAUGAGAAGGACCCCGCUCGAAGAGAAGCAUCACAGACGAGCAACGUGGCGGCAACAAGUCAGUCCUGGUCCGUUUCUCUGAUCAUGGCUAGGCUACCACCACAAAUGGCAGAGAUGUUUCCCUAGGAGAAUGAGAAUGAGAUCGCCCCAGAGAAAAAGUAGGACCACAACCAUGGAGUUGUUUCAGGCGCGAUUACGACUGGAAGAAGUGGCGACUGGCGUGCAUUGUGGAGAGAUGGAUGCGGGUUAGAUGCAGUGGCGGCGUUGGUGGUUAUUUUGGAACUAUGAAACCCAGGGCAGAGAAGGAAGGAGCCGCUGGGGAUGAUUGGUGCACGAAAUUGUGAUCCCUGGUAAUGGCUCCAAAAACUUGGUGCUCUACUCUUAAUUCAUAACUUGUCACAACUUCGAUACAACUAACCAGCAAGUGCACUGGGUCGUCCAAGUAAUAAAACCUUACAUGAGUAAGGGUCGAUCCCAGGGAGAUUGUCGGCUUGAAGCAAGCUAUGGUCAUCUUGCAAAUCUCAGUCAUGAAGAUUCAUAUGGUUAUGAAUAUUUGCAUAUCAGAGCCUGCUAGGGAUGGCAACGGGUCUCCAUAGGGGCGGGGACAUGUCUCCCGCCCCUUGCCCCCACGCCAUUCCCGCGACGGGUUAACAGGGACCCAUAUCCGCCGGGGAUCGGUGUCUCCGCGAAUAUCCGCAGAUUUUUUAAAAACCUAAAAAAAUUAAAAAAAAAAGAAAAAUAAAAAAAGAAAGAUCAAAGAUAAUCUGCAAAUCAUCGUUAGAAGCAUACUCUUUAUAGGCUUCACAUACUUAAAUAGCAACAACUAAUAUUAUCUCAACUCAAUCAUCAAACAUAUUAAUAAAACAACCAAAAUAUAUCUAAAUACUAAACUUAUUCAUCACAUUCUAAAAACAUAAGCUUAAGCCUUUCUUUCAUCACAUCAUGGCAGGGAUAGUAGAUUUUGAUUUGUUUGAAUCUGCAUAAAAAAAUCGAAGGUUAAAUAAUUUCAAACACACAAUCCCAGUUUCUUUUGGCUACUACAUUAUUAAAAAACAAAUAGAGGCACAUAUAUGAGGUACAAUCACAAGAUAUUUCUAUGAAAUUCAAAGAAAAUCACAAAUUACAAGAUAAUUAAUGACAAAAUGCUUCAAAGUAAAUGAAAUCUAAGGCUAACUUAUCGGAAGGAAGUGCUGCCAACGGAGAAAAACGAUCUUACUAGAUGCUGCGAUGGAGACCGGACUACCUCUAUCAAAGAGAAAGACGAAGACGACGAUGGGAACAAUGUCUCUGCCAUAGACGAAGAUGGCGACGGCAAAGAACAAUUGUGCCUCUGCUGAAGAUGAAGACGGCGACGAUGAAGAAUGCCUCAUCUGAAGACGAAGACGGCGACUGCAAAGAACGCUUCUGCCUCUGUCGAAGACAAUGGCGACGCUCAAGCUCUUCGCAGUGACUUUGAAAUUGAGAGGUAGAAGCCGUGAGAGGAGAUGAGGCUCGCAAUGAUGCAGACGGCGGUGAGAGUGGAAAAGGGUGGUGAAGAGAAGAAGAGGAAUUGAGCGGGACCGAGAAGGAGAGGCCGGGAGGGAGAGGAUUUGAGUUUUGAGAAGAGAGUGAGUAAUGACGGCUGAGAGAAUAGAAGGGUUUGGCUUAGGGUUUCUCAUAAUAUAUAUAUAUAGGGGUAUGGCUUAGGGUUUAUUUCAAGGGUCCCCGUCCCCGCCCUCUGCGAGUAAAAACCUCCUCCAAAUCCGUCCCCCGACAGGUAAAUUCCCGCGGAUACUUGCCCUGCCGGAAAAAAUUGCCAUGCUUAGAGCCUGCAGCCUGGCUGUAUUUGGCUUGAUCUGGUCUGACCUGUUAUAAAAUAGGCACAUAUUUAGAUUCUUGUAAACGUUUUAAUAUGUUAAUAGGUGAGUCCCAAAUUCACUAAUUAGCCUUAUUGGCCUAUCAAGCCUGCAUGAGCUAAGUNNNNNNNNNNNNNNNNNNNNNNNNNNNNNNNNNNNNNNNNNNNNNNNNNNNNNNNNNNNNNNNNNNNNNNNNNNNNNNNNNNNNNNNNNNNNNNNNNNNNNNNNNNNNNNNNNNNNNNNNNNNNNNNNNNNNNNNNNNNNNNNNNNNNNNNNNNNNNNNNNNNAUGGUCAUGCCUUUUAACUGGCUUUAUGCCAAACUAGACCUAUUACUUUAAAAAAAGUCUAUAAUCAGGCCCAAACUAAUUAACUACAUAAUAUGUCUGACCUGUUUUCACUCCUAUCUAAUGUGCCAAGUCCAAUUUAGCUCAAUAAAAAUUCAAUUCACAUCAGCAAGUAGAUUUAGGGUUAGAAAAAAUUAUUUUAAACAGAUGGAGGGUCUAAUUUUUUUAAACAAUGUGAUCAUGGAGGUAUAUUUUAUUUUAGGCAGUAAAAUAGAAAUAAGAUAAAAAAUAUUAUUUUAGAAUUAAUUAUUAUUUUUAUUAAGGGUAAAGUAUAUUUUUUGUCCCUGAAGUUUAGCAAAAAUUUCAAAAAUACCCUUAAAUUUUAUUUUGUUUCAAUUUUGUCCAAGAAGUUUUCGAUUUGCAUCAAAUAUACCCUUAACUGCUAAAUUUUCAAAAAAAUUAAGACCAAUUUAACAAUAAUGCAUGAAAAUUAUGCUUGAUUUACUUGUGUUGAGGGUUGUUCUUAUGAAAUUGUUGUUGAAUUGGUCUUAAAUUUUUUGAAAAAUUAGCCGUUCGGGGUAUAUUUGAUGCAAAUCGAAAACUUUUAGGACAAAAUUAAAACAAAAUAAAAUUUAGGGGUAUUUUUGAAACUUUUGUCAAACUUUAGGGAUAAAAAAUAUAUUUUAUAAUUAGGAUUUAUAUUUUUUUUCACAACCUUGAAGGCAAUAUUAUCGUUAAAGAAAAUGUAAUGUAAGAAGUAAAAAGUGGCCUAGAAUUCAAUUAGAGUAGUUUUAGGGUUAAGUACCGUUUUGUCCUUAAGGUCUUGGCUCAAAAUCAAAAUGGUCCCCAACCUUUUUUUGUUAUUAAAAUCAUCUUCAACGUUAUAAAACGUUAUAAAAUUAUCCUUUUGUCCAUGAACAAUUUUUUUGGACAAAUUUACCCUUAAUAAAAAAAACUACCGAACCGACCAAGAACCAGUCGGUUGGACUAUAUCGGUAACCGGUCGGUUCGGAUAAAAUGACGCCAAUCAUUCAUUCAUUUGUCACUCCCCCCAAUCAUUCAUUCAUUCAUCACUCCCUGGACUGAAGAACUCUGAAGAAAAAGGGAACCCUAGCCCUUCAUCACUGCCGCCGUUUCGAGGUCAUUAGCGCCGCCGCCGUCCCCAGGUCCUCAGCACCGCCGUCGUCCCCAGGUCCUCAGUGCCACCGCUUCUUCCUCUUCCCCGUGUUCGGAACCAGUGACUCGGCACGUCAUCUUCAUCUUCGCUGGCUUCUCGGCACAGAACCCAGGUUAGUGGCUUCUCAUCUUCAUCUUCACUGAAUGUUCAAUCUUUGAUCUUCUUCUUCAAUUUUUAUUUGAAGUUCUGAAAUUAUUGUUCUUUAGUCUUCUUCUUCAAUUUUUGUUCCAUUUUUCUUCAAUCCUUCUUCAAUUUUUGGUUUUGAUUGCUCUGUUACUCUGUUAAAUUAUGUGUAUUAAAAUAAACUUAUUCUGUGAAUGAGAAGAUGAAGGGUUGUUGUUGUGAAUGAGAAGAAGAAGAAGAUGAAGAAGAAAGAAGAUAUGAGAAGAAGGGUUGUUGUUGUGAAUGAGAAAGAAAGAGAAGAAGGAUCUGCCGUCUGCGUUUGCUUACAUGUUUUUAAAUUUUUGUUUGAGAUAUUGCAUGGACAAAGAGAUUUUAGUACAGGGCCUUAGCUGGACUAAGAAUUCUUUUGGAGAAGAGAAAUUUGUUGAACUGGCUGGGAGCAUGAUUUCCUCUCUGCUGGAGUCUGGUAGUUACCAACAAGAGCCUUAGUUACCAACAAAAGCCGGCUUCUGAUUUUUCACCAUUCUUGCUCAUGAAACAUAGUGGAAUUGACAAAAGCCUGCAGGAUGAGCUGCUUGAGAAGAGUGGCUGUAAUGAAAGUGAGCUUCAGUCUAUCCUUGGCCCUCAUAUCAUAGUUGGAUGCUUCUAUUGAUAAUAAAGCUUCAGGAGUUCUUCCUAAGGCCUACUGGGAGUGCAUAUCCUAGAUUGGUUAUUUAGAAUAACAGCAGGGAGAAAGGUUGAUUUGGACAUCAAAGUUUCUGAAAAAAUUCUUGAUGCUGUAAUGAUUAUCAAGUAUGAUAGGAUAUUUGAAGGUAUUCAUGGGCAAUGUGAUGCUCUUUAUCAAAGUAUGAUAGGAUGUUUGAAGGUUAUUUAGAAUAACUGGAAUGGUCAAGCUAUGAUGACUUAAUUCUAAUGAAGCAAGAAUGGAUAAUCUGCUUCUCUUUAUUUUUUUUUUUACAAAAUAAAAAACGGCGUCGUUUUAUCUGAAUUGGCAGGUUACCGAUCCGGUCCAACUGAGCGGUUCUCGGCCGGUUCGGUAUUUUUUUUUAUUUUUGUUUAAGGGUAAAAUUGUCCAAAAAAAUUGUUCAUGGACAAAAGGAUGAUUUUAUAACGUUUUGUAACAUUGAGGAUGAUUUUAAUAACAAAAAAAGAUCAGGGACGAAUUUGAUUUUCACCCUAGACCUUAGAGACGAAAACAGUACUUAACCCAUAGUUUUAUUUGUAAUUGAUCUAUAUAAAUAAAUAUAGUAAGAAUUUAAUGAUAUUGAAUGAUUUUAGUGAUUGAUUUCUUUUCUAUUUGACCCUAACUGGGAUUCUCUUUACUCUCUCUUUUCUCUAUUGGUCCUUAAUUGAAAUUUUUUCUUAUUCUAUCCCUAUGCUCUGACUUGGAGAAUAUGUUAGAUGCUCUCUCUACUACUUCGGUAAUCACCAUUAAGAUAAUAAUCAAUCCAAAUAUGAGAUAACUUUUCACUCAGUAAGGGAAUAACACGUGAUCAAUUUAUCUUCAAGAGAUGACAAGGUCACCCUUUCUACUUUAUAAUACUACAAUAAUCAGGUAUUUUUUUUAAUAUAAUUUCAUUCAAGUCUGCUAAAAUUCUUACUAAAUUAAGUAUCAGAACUCCUUCAAGGUACCCCAGCCUAGAUGAGGACGUCAGAAAAAUCACCCUUUUAAGGAGCGAGUCGAAACUAUUCCUUAGAUGUUUGGACCUUACGUUCAGAUCCAAAACACUAUACAAUUUUAAGUAAUUUCUGGAACAGUUAGAUAUUAGGGUGGUUUAUUUGUUAACAUAUUUAUUUUUAAUUUUUUUUUUUAGUGAUCAAGUGAAGUAGGACCAUUAUUAAAAAUAAUAUCACAAAAAAAAAUAAUUAUAAUAAAAAAAUUUUAAUUAAAGAAAUAGCAUCACACAAGAAAUUGACUUAAUAUAAAAGGUUAAAAAAAGAAACAAUAAGUAACAAUAAUAUGUACCCUUGUCAUUAAGAAUAGAUUAAUUUGGUUAAAGGGCUUUGAGCAAAAAUUCUUUUUAGGGCUUGUGAGAUCAAAAAGAUUUUUGGUUAAAUAGUCAAGAUACUAAUAUCACUUUGAUCAAUGUCUACGUUGAUUCUUCAUUUGGUUUAAGUUGCACAAUUAUCUUGCUCAUGCAUCACGCAUAUUCCUCUUAGUAAUAGUAGCAAUUUUUUAAUACAAAAUUCAUAAGUUCCCUUUGGAUAUGGAUGAAAGUCAAAAUAAUAAUAAAUUUGUUUAUUUAUUUAUUUGAUAAGGUGGAAAUUUUUAAUCACCACAAAUAUAUAUUGAUUAAUUAGUGUAUGAAACUCUCAUUGAAGGUGGUUAUUUUUUUUCGUGCUAAGCAUUUUACAACUAGGGAUUCACUAGAUAUUUAUUACAAAAUAAUUUCUCUGGUAACUCAAUCUAGUUAAUACUUAAGUUCGUUCCUAAAAAAAUUUAAUUUUUAAAUCGUUUAUCGAAAAAAUUUAUUAGUCAUAUUAGAUUUAUUAUCGUAAGUCAAAUCAAUUCUUUCAUCAAUUAGAUGAUAAUGUGUGCUCAUGUAUGUUAAGUGCCACAUGACAUAAUAAUAUAGCUGAUUAGAGAAUAAUAUGUGACGUUAAGUGUUGCACGUGCUAUGAUGAUAUAGCCAGUUUAACAUCAUAUAUAACAAAAUAAUUAAUUGAUGUAUCAUGUUAUAUCAAUAUUCAAUUAAUUAUUUUGUGAUAUGUUAAUUUAUCACGUCAUCAUGUUACGAGACCCUUAAUAUUAUUGUCAUUAUGUGACUGACAAAAAGAUCAAUAUGACUACUAAAAUUUUUUAAAGACCAAUUUAAAAAAUAAAUUAUUUUUAUAGGCAAAUUUAAGAAUUUAUUUCUCCUAACUCUGAAUUAUUAUUUAUUACAUUAUCAUAAAUCAGGCUCCAACUAAAGGUACUACAUAAAAAAUGUUAAUUACUAUUGCAUAAAUUAAUUAUGAUUGAUUACCAACAAAUUUCAAAUCACGCAUUCUAUUAUGGGUUCAACUAGUAUGUGCCAUAAGGGCACAUUUUAAAAUUUUUAGUUAGAAAAGUUAAUUUAAAAUUUUACUACAUUUAUUGUUUAUUUAUUUAAGAAAACAAAUUAAUAAUUUCUACUAAUGAUUAGUGUAAUAUGUGCUUUUAUUAUGAUAUAAUUUAGUUAAACUCUUGUAUUAUUAUCAAACCUACCUUAGCCCUGUUGGCAUAGGAUAAUACUAACUCUAUAAACGAGUACUCAAUUUGAUCUAACUCGUUCUGGUAGGAUUGAGAGCAUAGUGGGUUAAACUGGGGGUAGGGUUAAGAACCCUAACUGACCUAUUCGCAUCCGUAAUAAAUUAAAGGUUUAAUUAUUUUAUUGAUCUCUAUAGUUUCAUGAAAUUUUCAAUUAGGUUUCUAUAUUUUUUUUUCUUUUAAUUGGAUUCCUUCACCAAUUUUUUUUCAAUUAGAUCCUUUUUGACAGUAAUUGAUUUAAUUGUAUAGGAACCCAAUCAAAAAAAAUUUGUGCAAGGACCCAAUUAAAAGAAAAAAAAGUAUAGGGACCCAAUGAAAAAAAAAAAUAGUGCAAGGACUCAAUUAAAAGGAAAAAAAGUAUAGGAAUCUAAUUAAAAAUUUUGCGAAACUAUAGAGACCAAUAGAGUAAUUAAACCUAAAUUAAAGUAUAUUAUUUAAAAAUAUUAUAUGUAUAUAAUGAAGUUGGUAGAGAUUAAACUCUCAUUCUCUCCCUUUUGUAAUUUUAACAUAAAUUUCAUUAUAUUUUAUUAUUUUUAAUUUUAAUAUGGACUUAAUUUGUAUUUUUGUUUAUUAAUAUGUAUGAAAUAUGGAAUGAUUACAUAUUAUAUUUGAUUGAAAAAUUUUAUUUUGUUACAGGUAGAGCCGGAUAAGGUCGGUAAAAAAUAUUUGAAUGUGAUUAAGAUUAGAAUUAAAAAAUUCUCCACCUAUAAAUAAGAUAUAAUUAAAUUUUAGUAAUAAUUUAAAUGCACAAGUAAGAUUAUGAUAGAGUCUAAAUCUUAUCUUUAUCCUUUUUUUCCAAAAAAAUUUCAACUAUUUAAGUAAAAUUAUUAGUUUGAAAAAUAAUAUGAUUUUAUUUUGUCAACAUUAAUUAGAUGAUUGACUAUUCACUCUAUUAAUUAAGACUUAGAUUUAAAUUUGACCAAAAGAUAUUUUAUCAAAUAUAUUCUCUUAUAUACAAAGAGUAUUACACCUAUUAAACUAGAGUCAAUAACCCAAAAUGUUAUAUGAAAAAUACAAAAUCACGUUUAAUUUUUGCUAACAUGAUAAUUAAUCUCUUUGACUUAUAAAUUUUUCAUAAAAAAACAAAUAUUGAAUUUGUAAAAGAUUACCAAAGCGGCAAAUAAUUUGGGGGAAAAAAUUAUAUUUUAGCAUUAAUUUUAAAAAAUAAUUUACUAAAAAUAUGAAUAAUGAGAAAACAUACUCAAUUUUGAUAAUUGUUAAACCAUGAAUAGAAUAUAAUUAAAACAAAUUUAAAAUUAUAUAUUUUAUGUAUAAUAUAUUAUAAUUUAUUAUUAUCUUUUGACAUUCAUCCAACUCUAUAAAUUUACAUCAAAAGGCCUUCAUAGAAGCCAUCAAAACACAAAAUAUUUUGUUUGUGACUCCAACCUAGUUUUUAUUUUUUAAUUCAAAAAAACUAGGAAACAUGGUGAAGAUUACAACUAAGAUAUCAUUUGUAAUGAUCUUUCUCGCUUUAGUAGCCACCAAUGGUAUUUUCUUUUUAAUCUUAUAUGCAUCCGUUCUUUUUUUUAUAUAUAUCUAAACAAUUAUAUUACUAGAUACGUACUAAUCUUGUUUAUAUUUAAUUUGUGUUUGUGAAACAUUUUAAAUUUCUACCAUGAUGCUGCAAAUAUAAUUAUAUAUUAUGACUAUCUUUUUUAUUUUUCAUUUUUAAAUAUUUUUUCUUUUGUAGGAUUUGGUCUGCCCAAAACACCAACAAAUGUGGUGCCUCAACAGGAUUGCCCUGGUGGUUGCAAUUUUCUAAUAAAUGUUUGUUUUCCACUAUUUCCUGCGUGUAUUAAUGGCAAGUGUACAUGUGCAAAGUUAGACAAUAAUAAUGCAAGCACAAAACAAGAACGCCACUAUGUCAAAGAUGGUGAAAAAGGAAACUAGUAGCUGAGUGCAUACCAUUAGAAAUAAUGUAGUUUACCUACAUUUUAAUAAUAAAAAUCUUGGAGUUUAAUAAUUUAUUAUUACUCAUGAAUGUAAAAUUUGUGUCGUCUUGUGUACUU